AGUGUGAGAGAGAGAGAGAGAGAGAGAGAGAGAGAGAGAGAGAGAGAGAGAGAGAGAGAGAGAGAGAGAGAGAGAGAGAGAGAGAGAGAGAGAGAGAGAGAGAGAGAGAGAGAGAGAGAGAUGGUAGGUAAGUGAAUGGGAGCAUAUAUCCCCACCAUGUGGGAUUUGUGGUGCCAUUGUCAUCUAUUGUAUGUUACCACAUCCUUUUUAUUUCAUUCUCCUAAUUAAUUAAGAGAGAAGUGUAUGUACACAUGAAGAGUAUCAUUAUUUCUCCCUUUUGCCCUCCAUAAAUUUUGAAACUGAUUUCGAAUUUUGGAAGUAUUAAUUAAUAAUAUAUGUAAAAUAAAAUAAAAUAAAUGGAGCCUAAUACUGUGAUCUUGACAAGGCAGCCAUAAUAGUGAUAUUUGUACAAGAAUGGAAGUGAAGAAGAAGAAGAUGUAUUUAGGAGAUCGAUCGAGCAAUAUAUGAACGAAAGAUAAUCAGGCAUCAGGUCCACAUUUCGUCUUUGGCCGUAUAGUGUUACAGUCGUUAAGUCGCAUUUCACGAGUCUGAAAAAACAAACAACUAGUCUAUUAUAUUGAAACUGCUCUAUCUACCAUAUACCCCAUCAACCAUUCUUCACAGUUACUACACAUGCCUGGUUUCCCAUUUUCUUUCUUUCUUUUUUUUUAAUUUAUUUAUAUAAUUUUCUGAUCUUACACGAUCACUCGAAUCGGGUGUAUACAGCUCGAGAGUUGAGCAUCCGAGCUAUUGAGAAUGCAAAGGCCUACGAACGGUUUACUUUUAUUUACUCGAGCUUCGUGUUGACAAAACAAAAAUGUAUGUACAUCUAACAUCAACUAUAUAUAUGUAAAACACACUUAAAGUACUACUUGACACAUUCGGCAAUAAAUUCAUCUAAGAUUUUGAAGUGUUGGUAGUGUCUUUUUUUUCGGAUGUGUGCCUAUUUUUUGUGAUAUGCCUUAACGGGCUAGCUCAGUAAGCCAAUGAGUAUUUGGGCCAUCUAAACGACCCGAUCUUUCAUCUACCUACAAGAUCACUAAUUAAUGGUUCAAUUCUAUUAAUAAGAAGUUGUAAGCUCAUUAGAGUUUAUUGAUCCUACUUAGAAUUCUACUCUAAUGAGAAUUCUACUAAUCAAACUAUACAUAACCAACAGGAUUUGGCGUCAGAGGAGUUUCUAUCGGAUCAACAUCAGGCUUAAUUUACGUGAGCUUAUCUUGCAGAUUCAAGGCACAAACAUUCUAGGGCUCCUCAUAUUGUAGCAAUGACUUCGCUUAAAUCACCUACUCGCAUGCACGUAUCUACACUAGCAUUCUAAUUUAAUCUACCCCAAGUAUGUGACAUCACAUCAUUUUGUUAAUUGCUAAUUUUAGUCAUUGUUUGUGAUAUGUUAUCGUAGCUCGACGGAAAUAUUGAUGUCUCGAUUACUAGUCAUUUAUUUAUCGGUACUAUUAUCGGUCUCGCGAUGGUCUAAUUAGAAUUAGGACUUAACAUAAAAAAAAUAGAAAAAAUGAAUCGAAUAUUUGGUUUAUUUUCCACCAUGCUAAUUAAUUAUAGUUAUUAAUUUAUUAUUAAUAUAUAUUAAAAAUCAUGGAUCUAUAAGAAGACGCCACCCCCAACUCCCUACCUAAACUCUCUCCUCUACAACACACACACACACACAUAAAUACAGUUGAGCUAUCCUAACUAUCUCUGAACAGUAACAUAAGUACUCCCCCAACUUCUCUCUCUUCCCUCUCUCUCUCUCUCUCUCUCUCUCUCUAUACUUUCUUAUUCUUUGUCUGUAAAUUAAAUUAUGUAAAAAACCAUGGCAAGAAAUCUCAAUUUCUGCUUCACGAAGAUCAAAUCUCUACAAUCCCCAGAACACAAUCUCCAAGAAAAUCACAGCCAUCCAUUCCCCAACCCCUCCCCAUCCCUCCUCAUCAAGAACUUCAACUCCCUCUACGAGAACUUCAACGCCGCCGCAUCGGAAAACCAGUCCCCGCCGCCGGAUUCCGGGGCAACCACCGACUCCGCCGCCAUGCCGGAUUUCACCACCGCCUUCGCUUCCCGGCGCUUCUUCUUCUCCUCCCCCGGCCGCUCCAACUCGAUCAUCGACUCCUCCUCCUCCCUCGCAUCCACGUCAUCCUCCACCUCACUGAACCUCCCUCCGGAAAACGACACCGUUUCGAGCGGCAGCAUCGCCGUCCCCACCUACUCGCCGGACCCAUUCAUGGACUUCCGGCGAUCGAUGCAGGAAAUGGUGGAGGCGCGUGAAAUCGACGACGUGAGAGAGAACUGGGAUUACCUGCAUGAACUCCUAAUGUGCUACCUCUCUCUAAACCCGAAAAGCACGCACAAAUACAUCGUCGGCGCUUUCGCCGAUCUCCUAGUCAGCCUCAUGACGUCACCGCCGGAAAACAGCCGCCGGAAAACACCAAUAUUCCCCGACGGAAAAUGCAAGAUUCCGCCGCAAUAUAUGUAAAAAGAAAAAAAGUACACACCGGUAACUCAAAUCAUUUUCAACAAAAAUUUUUUUACAUAUAAAUAAAUGUAAUAAAUUUAUUUAAUAAAUAUAUAAAUAAAUAUAUAUUAUGUGGGGAUGAUAUGAAAUGAAUUGGUGAUAUAAAAGCAGUUGGUCCCCCGCCUGCUGUAUUGAAUGAUAUUAAUAUAUAUAUUAUUCAGUUCAUCUUAUCCUAUUACAGCAUUCAAUUUAUUUUUGUUUUUUCCAUUUUCAUACUCUUUCAUCUGCCAUUGUUAAAAGCCUGGUUUUGUAUUCUGAACCCCUAUACCACCAAAAAGCUGUGCCUAUAUCAUUCAAUAAUUUAUUUAUUUAUUUAUUUUAUUUUUAUUUAUUUUUCAGGUAUGCUAAAUAUUUAUCAUUGUAAAAUUGGAAUUACAUAGUCAUGAUGUUUCUUUCCUGAACAUUUAAUUUCCAUGUGAUAAUUAGAUUUGGUUUCCUUGCUGGUCCAGCACUACUGCGCCCAAACUUUACCUAAGUUUUUUAUCUUCAUUUUUGUUUCACCUAAAUUAAUUAAUGAAUAAAAAAAAAAUCAUUGUUCAUCUCAUCUUGUCUGGUCCUACAUUAAGAGAUGUAAUUUCUAGGAUUAUUUGUUAUUACUUAUUAGCAGCAGAAUCAUUUUGAUUAGACAGUUUAACAUAUAUACCUUUGCCAACAAUGUUUUCCAUAUAUUAGUAUUUUUCUUCAGGGUAAAGCUAUUUAGUCUUUUACUUAAAACUUAAAACAUUGCCUAUAUUGUAUUAGUAUUUUUUUUAAUUUGUUUUGUAAUUAAAUCAGUUUUUCAGAACAACUACUGUCCUUACAAGAUUCAAUUGUGGCUGAAUGGAAAAUGUACUUCUAAUGAAACAAAAUUUGUGGGCUCAUUGUUUUGUGCAUAAAAGCCAAACCACUUUCAAUCUAAAUUUUUCAUGCAAUCGAUUUUACCGACAACCCUCGUUAUAAUAUAUCGAUUAAUUUUGUUUUAUCAGAAGAAAACAAAAUAGUUACUGAUAAAAGAUUUUCCUAAACUUGUCCUUGCUCAUGAAAUAAAAGGUGUCAUCUGUGCUUGAUUGAAGCAAGUAAGAAUCUUUCAAGUCCGAACAAAAACGUUUUACAAUUGUUGUUGGUGAAAAAAACAGUAAUAAUGAUAAUAAUGAAACCCAAAUAGUAAUUAAUUAAAAAGCAAGUAGGAUCCACACACUCAGACAAAAUCAGGGAAUCUUGAAUUUGUUUUUGAUAACAUCUGUAUUGAUAUUUGCUGUUGUCUGAAAAUUUAAUUGUUUUUCUUAGAGACUAGGGAUAGGUCGCACUCAGUAUUGAAGAUUCUAUGGUUCUAUAUUAGUGAAGUGCCAUGUGAGUUACUAAACUGGAAAAUGACUUGUUUUUUUACGACAAGUUGUUCAUUAUACAAAUUGUUUCGAAUUGAAUUAUUGCUAUGAUAGUAUAAACUGGAGUAGUUAGAUGUUACGCACAAGUAAUUUACACUAAUUGGAUUUCAAACGUAGAUCUACACAUACGGUGUUAUUUAAUCAAAUCGACGGUCGAAAUCCAGCAACAGUGAAUAGCCAAGUGUAGCAUCUAACCCCGCUAUAGACUACUUAUACCCAGAUUAUUAAAAUCAAAUUAGUCAAUGUAAGAUUAUACAAUGUCUUGAGCAGAGAACAGAGUCUAAUUUUUUGAUUGAUCCUACACCUAUUAUAUCACAUGGUCAUUUGGGCAAACAAAUAUUUCGACCAUUAAGAGCUGGUACAGAAUUGAGCCUUAAUUAUUACACUAAAAUUGGGCUUUUACAAUCUAAACCUAGUCUAAAUCAUUUAUGACAUUUAUUGUUGAAUAAAGUUAAAUUAUAUGGGGCAAUGGUGGCAAAAUGGAAUUUAAUUAAAAAAAAUGGGAGAAAAAAUGAAACUCUUACCACACAAAAUUUGUCUUUAAAAGUCAUAAAAAAUAAAAAGCACGAGUCCAAAACUUGAAAUUCAGAACAGGGAUAAUAAAGCAUGUAACAUCUCAAGAUUGGAGUAAAAGCCUAAAACCAAAUAAAACUAGUCAUCAAAAUAACAUAGAAACAAGAAGAAGAAGAAGAAAACACUCAUCGCUUCUUGGAGACACCAACAGUCUUUCCCCUACGACCAGUAGUCUUGGUGUGCUGUCCACGCACGCGAAGACCCCAGUAGUGACGGAGCCCACGGUGGUUCCUAUUCAUUUGCAAAUAAAAUAAAAUUAAAAAAUUUGAUAAAUCAAACCAAAUAUUGUUUAUUAGUUUAAAAAAAAAAGAUAAAGUGGGAAGUGAAAAAAGGAACCUGAUCUUCUUCAAACGCUCGAGAUCAUCCCUGAGCUUCAUGUCCAAAGCAUUGGAUGUAACUUGAGAAAACUUUCCAUCCUUGUAAUCCUUCUUUCUGUUCAAGAACCAGUCUGGAAUCUUGAACUGACGAGGAUUCGCCACAAUAACCAUCAAGCUAUCAAUUUCAGCAUUUGAAAGUUCACCAGCCCUGACAAAUAUUACGUACACAACGUCAGAUUUACUUCCAUAAAGACACCUCGUCAUAUAAUAGGAAGAAUGUAAAAGGUUCACAACCAGAGAGAACAAACUAACAAGAAUCUCGCAAGUAACUAUCGUCAAAAUACNNNNNNNNNNNNNNNNNNNNNNNNNNNNNNNNNNNNNNNNNNNNNNNNNNNNNNNNNNNNNNNNNNNNNNNNNNNNNNNNNNNNNNNNNNNNNNNNNNNNNNNNNNNNNNNNNNNNNNNNNNNNNNNNNNNNNNNNNNNNNNNNNNNNNNNNNNNNNNNNNNNNNNNNNNNNNNNNNNNNNNNNNNNNNNNNNNNNNNNNNNNNNNNNNNNNNNNNNNNNNNNNNNNNNNNNNNNNNNNNNNNNNNNNNNNNNNNNNNNNNNNNNNNNNNNNNNNNNNNNNNNNNNNNNNNNNNNNNNNNNNNNNNNNNNNNNNNNNNNNNNNNNNNNNNNNNNNNNNNNNNNNNNNNNNNNNNNNNNNNNNNNNNNNNNNNNNNNNNNNNNNNNNNNNNNNNNNNNNNNNNNNNNNNNNNNNNNNNNNNNNNNNNNNNNNNNNNNNNNNNNNNNNNNNNNNNNNNNNNNNNNNNNNNNNNNNNNNNNNNNNNNNNNNNNNNNNNNNNNNNNNNNNNNNNNNNNNNNNNNNNNNNNNNNNNNNNNNNNNNNNNNNNNNNNNNNNNNNNNNNNNNNNNNNNNNNNNNNNNNNNNNNNNNNNNNNNNNNNNNNNNNNNNNNNNNNNNNNNNNNNNNNNNNNNNNNNNNNNNNNNNNNNNNNNNNNNNNNNNNNNNNNNNNNNNNNNNNNNNNNNNNNNNNNNNNNNNNNNNNNNNNNNNNNNNNNNNNNNNNNNNNNNNNNNNNNNNNNNNNNNNNNNNNNNNNNNNNNNNNNNNNNNNNNNNNNNNNNNNNNNNNNNNNNNNNNNNNNNNNNNNNNNNNNNNNNNNNNNNNNNNNNNNNNNNNNNNNNNNNNNNNNNNNNNNNNNNNNNNNNNNNNNNNNNNNNNNNNNNNNNNNNNNNNNNNNNNNNNNNNNNNNNNNNNNNNNNNNNNNNNNNNNNNNNNNNNNNNNNNNNNNNNNNNNNNNNNNNNNNNNNNNNNNNNNNNNNNNNNNNNNNNNNNNNNNNNNNNNNNNNNNNNNNNNNNNNNNNNNNNNNNNNNNNNNNNNNNNNNNNNNNNNNNNNNNNNNNNNNNNNNNNNNNNNNNNNNNNNNNNNNNNNNNNNNNNNNNNNNNNNNNNNNNNNNNNNNNNNNNNNNNNNNNNNNNNNNNNNNNNNNNNNNNNNNNNNNNNNNNNNNNNNNNNNNNNNNNNNNNNNNNNNNNNNNNNNNNNNNNNNNNNNNNNNNNNNNNNNNNNNNNNNNNNNNNNNNNNNNNNNNNNNNNNNNNNNNNNNNNNNNNNNNNNNNNNNNNNNNNNNNNNNNNNNNNNNNNNNNNNNNNNNNNNNNNNNNNNNNNNNNNNNNNNNNNNNNNNNNNNNNNNNNNNNNNNNNNNNNNNNNNNNNNNNNNNNNNNNNNNNNNNNNNNNNNNNNNNNNNNNNNNNNNNNNNNNNNNNNNNNNNNNNNNNNNNNNNNNNNNNNNNNNNNNNNNNNNNNNNNNNNNNNNNNNNNNNNNNNNNNNNNNNNNNNNNNNNNNNNNNNNNNNNNNNNNNNNNNNNNNNNNNNNNNNNNNNNNNNNNNNNNNNNNNNNNNNNNNNNNNNNNNNNNNNNNNNNNNNNNNNNNNNNNNNNNNNNNNNNNNNNNNNNNNNNNNNNNNNNNNNNNNNNNNNNNNNNNNNNNNNNNNNNNNNNNNNNNNNNNNNNNNNNNNNNNNNNNNNNNNNNNNNNNNNNNNNNNNNNNNNNNNNNNNNNNNNNNNNNNNNNNNNNNNNNNNNNNNNNNNNNNNNNNNNNNNNNNNNNNNNNNNNNNNNNNNNNNNNNNNNNNNNNNNNNNNNNNNNNNNNNNNNNNNNNNNNNNNNNNNNNNNNNNNNNNNNNNNNNNNNNNNNNNNNNNNNNNNNNNNNNNNNNNNNNNNNNNNNNNNNNNNNNNNNNNNNNNNNNNNNNNNNNNNNNNNNNNNNNNNNNNNNNNNNNNNNNNNNNNNNNNNNNNNNNNNNNNNNNNNNNNNNNNNNNNNNNNNNNNNNNNNNNNNNNNNNNNNNNNNNNNNNUUGCUGAAACAGCAUAGUUAAAUUUCAUGCGAAGAAUUGAACAUAUUUGCAAAAACUUGAUAACUAACAAGUUAACUACUAGAUCUGAAAGAAAAAACACGUUGAGCAAAAAAUAGUAGCAAUCAUUUCAAUACAUCAAAAUUUGCCUAACGCUAUACAAUAAAGUAUGUAGUGAAACAUGCAGAACAAUACAGAAAAGAAUGAUUAAUAAACAUCAAAAUUACCCUGAUAAGCCUGUAUUUAGGCUCGAAUUUCUUUGCAUUCUCAACAGAAUCGUAGAUCAAGCCAAAUCCGGUAGACUUUCCUCCACCAAAAUGGGUCCUGAAUUUGAACACAAAGAUGGCAUUCGGGUCCUUAACCUCGUACAUCCUCGCCAAUUUCUCCUUCAACUCAGCCUUCAAAAGAAAUUACAUAAAGAAAUAAGAUCACACCGCAAAUGUUCCGUACAAUCUAAUUAUUUCUCCUACCACUAAAUAUUUAACAAAAACCAAAACUGAAAAUGGAUUCCUCUACAUUGAGUUAUCAACAUAUCGUCAAGCACCUGGACGGGCAUCGCACUAAGUUGAUGUAAUAAGUAUUGUUUUCUGUAUUGACUAAAUUUCAUUAAUCUACAGAUUAUGGGAAUCAUACAACUACAAAACCACAUUUGAAUAAUAAAUUAUGUAUGAUUUUCUGAAUUAAAUCAUAGACUUCCAAUACAAAAACAAACAAAAGUAUAAAACCUAAAACAACUUAAAUUUAGUAUAAUAAAAAGACUGAACCUUGGAAACAUUAGGCCUUCCUGGGUGCAACACGUCAAUGACCUAAAAAGCAGAAGCGCAAAUGAAAAUUGGAGUAAGAAUAAAAAAUCAAAAGUAAAAACGUUACAGACAAGCAUUACAAAACAUAUAUACAUUAGAGUACAUACAAAUUGUUUCCUGGAAAGAAGACGAUUUGUCAUAAACUUCCUUGUUCUGAUAGUCACUGCCUUGUCCGCCAUUUUCUGCCCAAAAAAAACAGAUAAUAACCUAAUUACAUUCAAUUUCAAUCUAAAUCACGAAAUCAAGCAAUCUAUCUGCAGAUAAUAGAUGGAUCGUGAUGAAGAGAACAUGUAAUUACCGGUGUUGUUUAAGGAGAUUCAAGCCGUGACGCGCCGCCGCCGAGUGGUGCUGAUCUUGAGAAGCUUACUGAUGUGUUUCUGCUCGUGAGGCGUUUUAGCUUUGAAAAAUGGUACAAGACUGUAAAAUUAGGGUUUUGUGGUGUGAAGUAUGAACCCUACCUCAACGGUGAAAUGGGCCUAAUUUAUUUGGGCUCAAAUUCAACUUAAGUUUAUUAUCUGAUUCCAUGGGCUUUCAAAUUAAAUUUCUAUACUUUCCCGGAUAUACCCCUGCUAAUGGAUUUAAUUUUGAACAAUUAAAUUUAAUAUUAAUUAAGAUUAUAACAAAAAUACAGUUUGUUUGAAUCCCUUCAUUAAAGUUUUAUUAUCUAUAAUAAUUUUUUAAUUCCUCAAAAUUUUAAAAUAUUCGCUUUAUGUUGACUUCUUAGACUGUAAUUAAGCUCGCAAUUAAAGAACAUUUUUCACAAUGAUUAUCGUUCAAUAAUUUUUAAAUUAAUUAUUCAUGGUAGGAGCCUUUUAUACCUCUGAUUUGAUAGUAAAACAUUUUUUUUUAAAUAAAUUACUAAUUACCAUCAUUAUCUUCAACUAAUCUCAACUGCAAUGACUUCUUUCUCUUUUAAUAUUGAUUGGUAAGAACUGAAAUUCUAAACAAACAGUGAAAAUAAUGCUAAAAUCAAUAUUCCCCAUUAACAAAAUUCAGGAUGACUAGAAAAAUAAUACAGAACUAAAUAAAAAGAGCUGGAAAAUAAAAUUAAUAAUUUCUUAUCAUCUAAGAAAAUUUGGCAUCCGAAUCAACAAGAAGCUUCCACAGUGCGUGCACAUCUUCACAUGAACACGACUUCACAUCAUCGUACAAAACAUAUAUUCCUCGGCCUGAAUCAAACGAAAUUGACAAUGUUAUAAUUUUAUUCAGAGUAUACAUCGGCACUGCUGCACUGCAUGAAAGUUAAAACAAACACGACGAUUUUGAGAGAAAUGAUUACGCGUUCUUUUGGUUGACCGGAGUCUGCCCCAGAACUUCUUCAGAGGGGAUAAUAGAAGAGAAUGAAGCCAACGUCCCAUUAGAAUAAAUUAUGUGGAAAGGUUGGAAUGAAAUUAAAGAGAAUUUUACAAUGUAGUUUUCUACAUAUAUACAAGUGAAAAAAGUUUUAUAGAUCACUGUGCCAUUAAUAUAGUUUUAAUCCAGUAAAGUUUUGCAGCGAAAAUUUAAACAUUUUUUUGUAGGUCGAGAGUUGAGACUAUUGCACGAAAUAAGAAUUUGUUUACUUAGACUAUUGGUACGACGUCGUUGUUGAAUUAAUUGCAAAUCAAAAGCUCCUAAGAGAAGGAAGUAAUAAAUAUACUCCCACUAUUGGUUAAAUUGAUUCAUGCAUUCAUUUAAUAAGGAUAAUUGGCUUUAAUGAGAAUUUUCUAUCUGUUCAUAUUGGCUUCCAAGUCUACUUUUUUAGGGAAAAUUGGUAAAUUAAGUCUGUCAAUUCUUGGACAAGCUCUCUUCUCGUUAAAAUCCAUGAAGCUGUCGGUUAUUUUUAUGCUACACCCAGAAAAAGUUAUACCGUAUGUUUUUCUUCCCACUCAGUGUAUUUCACUUUGUAUAGCACUAUUUGGGCUGGUUCUAACUAUGCCCUUGUUCCUUCUGAAAAUUGAAGGUUCUGAUAUUGAUUUAUAUAUUAGGUAGAAGUUAACAUAACAUUGUGGUAAAGCCCAUUUAAGAUUCUUCUCCAUCGAAGCCCAAUUAAAAAGCCCAGCCCACUAGUUAUUUUUUGUUUUGUUUGGGAAAAAUUCAGAGUCCAGAUUGGCAAUUGAAAAGCGUGUUUAUAUUGAACAGCACCACCGACUAAAGGCGUGAUUGACCAAAAAAAAGAAGAAAAAAAGAAAAAAAAAAAGAGAAAGUACAUAAUGACAAAACGACAGCGUUGCAUCACCGGUCGGGUUAAAUUUCAAAUUCAGUCUCUCAAUUCGAUCCUCUGAGAUCCCUAAUGGGAAGAAUUUCCUCAGCCGUAGAAAUCCCUGAACGCCGUCGCCCACUCAGCCACCGCGAGGAUGGCCGCUCUUCUCCCGAUUCCCGCUACCAUCGGCGCAACGUUAGUUACAGCCGGAGCCGGAGCCCCAGCCUUAACCGCCACCACCGCCGUAGCCCCAGCCCUCGCCCUAAUCGGGACCGCCGCCGUAGCCCUAGCCCUAACCGUGACCGGCGCCGUAUCCCCAGCCCUAACCGCGUCCUCCGCCGUAGCUUCAGCCGAAGUAGGAGCCGGAGUGGAAGCCCCAUAAGAAACGGACAAAACAGGAACUUCCGUUCUUCUCCGGAUUACUCGUACCCUGUUCACGGAGAAAACCAAAUUUCUGUCGACCAAAAGAAAUUCAAUUUUGAUAAUAGAAAACAACCCUACCUCGACCGAGAUAGUAGGAACGGACAAUUCCCUGAGCCUGAGUCUGAUGAAGAAUUAAAGGGUCUUCCUUAUGAAGAAUAUCGCAGGCUCAAGCGUCAGAAAUUGAGAAAAUUGAUGAGGAACAGUAUUUGGAAUUGCACCCCUAGCCCCCCUAGGGAUCCAAAUGAAAAUUCGGAUGCGGAGCUGGACGAGGAUCUUGUUGCCGAAGAGGAAAAACAGACCAAGGUGUUGAAAGCUGUGGCGAAAAAAUCGAAAAAGAGCGACUCUGAGUCCGAGAGUGAGGAGUCUGAAUCUGAGUCAGAUGAUUCUAGGUCGAAGAGGGGCAGGAAAUCUGGCUCUAGGAAGAAGAAGAGUAGGAGAGCGAAAUCAGUUUCGGAGAGUGAAAGUGUAUCUGAGCAAUCGAGUGAUGAAGAUUCGGAGGAAGAUAGGAAGAGGAAAAAGAAGGGUGGAAAAAAGAGUAGGAAAGGAAGGAGUAGCAAACGCAGUAGUAGGAGAAAGAGAAGCAGCAGGAAGAAGAGCUUAACCAGCGAAAGCGAGAGCGCAAGUGAUGAUUCCGAAACAAGUGCUGGUGCAAAGUCGAAGCAGCGGAAACACAGGUCAUCUUCAAGGUCGAAAAAGGGCAAGAAAAAGAGAGAAGUCGACAGCGAGAAUUCUGAUUCAAACGGGAGUGCUUCUGAUCAAGAAGCUGGUGGAAAGGAGUUGGUCCACAAGGCAGAUGAGGUCAAGGUUAACGAUGAAAUGGAUGAUGAGCUACUCAUCUUUAAAGAAAUGAUGGAACUACGAAAGAAAUCCAACAACUUGGAGGAGGAGCAAGUGGUCGGUCCAAUGCCGCUGCCGAGGGCAGAAGGACAUAUCAGCUAUGGUGGUGCACUCAGGCCCGGUGAGGGUGACGCUAUUGCGCAGUAUGUUCAGCAAGGGAAGCGUAUCCCACGUAGAGGAGAAGUGGGUCUUUCAGCAGAGGAGAUUUCGAAGUUCGAGACACUUGGUUAUGUUAUGAGUGGUAGUAGGCAUCAGAGGAUGAAUGCCAUUCGUAUCAGAAAAGAGAACCAGGUUUACAGUGCUGAGGACAAACGGGCUUUGGCUAUGUUUAACUACGAGGAGAAGGCGAAGCGCGAGCAGAAGGUUAUGGCUGAUUUGCAGAGGCUGGUGCAGCGGCAUAUUGGGCAGGAUACUGGUCCUUCUCAUGAUCCGUUCGGUGGAAGGGCUGUCGAGGGGGCUGAUGAUUGAUUCUGCGUACUACUGUUGCUGUAUGCGUAUCUCUACUUUAUCCCUUUUAGGAUAUUCCUUUUUUCUGCUUUAUGAUGAUGUAUAAGUAUGCCAUGUUGUUGUGAUGGAUGCAUUUCGUGACAAUUAUUAUGCAGAAAUUGUGCUAAAGCUUUCGGAUUUUGAUUUUUCUUUUGAAAUCUUUUCUUUAAGUAAUGAUAUAGUGGAGAACGCCCUCAUUGGAAUUACGUUUGGUUCUUAGUUUUGGAGAUUUGUGCUUUUGUGUGUUUGCUUGUUAUUUUUUUCUAGUUGGUAUGAAACUCGAUAUUUUUUGAAGCUGCGCGGAGUCUAGUUAUUGAAAGGGUGUUUUUAGAUAUUAUGCUAGGCGAUCAGUAAGUCAUAAUUAUACUGUAUAUAGCUUACGUGAACUUAGUUUGGCAUAUGUCGACGAAAAUAUAAUUGUGCAUCUGUGCAACAAUGUGCUGGUCUUGUAUAUGUGCACUAAAACAAUGUUUUGGAUCCUUAUAAGGUUUACAUGGGGAAUUGGUUUUAUAUGUAGCCGAAAGUUCUAAGUUAGUUCUACUAUUUUGAAAUUUCUGCUUAUAAAAUAGGGGAAUUCACAUUAAAUGUAGUAAGUGUUAGGUAUAGACUAUGGAUUCUAACUCUUCUGGUUGACAGUAUGUAUACGUUUAUGUGUUUUAUUAAGUGGUGGAGUUUGUCGAACCCUUUAUUGAUGUAAUCGGAUAACAGUAACACAAUCAAAACCGAAGCCCGAAAUAAUCUAAUGUUUUAUGGAUUGAUUCAGUAAUUAUCUGAAGUUUAUUCAAUUAUAUUAUAUGGAUACUAAUCUGGUUUUCGAGCAGUUAUAAGGUAGGUAUUUUCUUGAUCAAAGGUUCUUUGGCCAGUUAGAUUGUGGUUUAUUAACUGCAUUAUUCUGCGUUUUCUCUUUGCCCCUCUAGUAAGCAACUAUAGGGGCCCUUGUGUUGAUUCCUCAGGAGAAUCUACACAUAAUUUGGUCUGAACAUUACAAGAACAAAAUCAAUACGAGUUAUCAUCGCUUGUGUUUUGUUCUUCUUAGAUCCCACGUUUUCAUCAUUUGUGUUUCACCUCUCUCGGACUUAAUGUGAUUUGUGAUUAUCUAUAUAAUUACUUUCUCUUCUUACAGAAAUUAAUACGUUUUAUUAUUUCUUCAAUCGGGCAUGCAUUCGGAUAUUAUCUAUGUUUCGAUUUUCGAAAAUAAAUAGCACAUGGGAAGUAAAUGUGGCGUAUAAGUUAAAAUGAGUUUUGUCUUCUGAAGAACAUGUGAGGUAGGGUUUCAUUUCAUACCCAGCUUUGGCCUUAUUUAACUAUAAAAUCAAGCAAAAUUAUUGCAUGAUUAAUGAUUACGGCUGCUGAUAGUUAUGAUUAGGUAUGAUGGUUUGGUCCCCCUAAUAUAUAUAUAUAUAUAUAUAUAUAUAUAUAUAUAUAUAUAUAUAUAUAUAUAUAUAUAUAUAUAUAUAUAUAUAUAUAUAUAUAUAUAUAUAUAUAUAUAUAUAUAUAUAUAUAUAUAUAUAUAUAUAUGUAAAAGAAGAAAUUAAUAAUAACAAUAAUGCUUAAGAGUUAAGAAUCAAGGGUUUGAAUGCUAAUGAACACCUUUGUCUUGUACAUUACAAAAUGAAAUCCAGUAUUGUACUUCUAUAGUAAAUGUGAGGGGUACAACGAAAAUUCAAUGACAACAAAAGUUAAGGCAAAAAGUACUUGAAAGCCUGAGAAACAUCAAGGAUGUAGUAGUUUCUUGAUUUAAAUGCUAAAUUCUUUCCAUUUUUAAUGAUCUUGUUCCAUUGUUUUGCAUUAGAUUAUGUUACUUAACAUGAAUGGUUAUAAAAUAAGUUUUGAUUUAUUAUAAAUAAAUAAAUAAAGAUGAAGUCCUGAUUUUUGCAUUUCAAUUUUUUCUUUAUUUUGUUAUAUUAUUUAAUGGAGACACCACAUAUGUAUCCACAUUUUCAAGAAGCUGUAAGAGAGUGAUGGGUUGCCAAAUUGCAUGGGACAGUUGAUGGUUCAUUACUAUUGGGGAAUUAUAUAAAUAUUAAUUAAUUAAUUAAAUAUUUUUUUAAGUUUCCAAUUUUGUUUUGAUGCACAUACCUCGUGGCCAAUGCAUAUUUGUGGGGGUAUGCCACUCUUGAAAUAUCAUUUUCCUACUUAAUUUAGUGUUAAAAGAACCCCCUAACCUUUCUUUCAAUAAUACUAAUUCUAACAAGUGGAGGGGCAAAAUAAAGAUAUAUUCAAAUAUUUUAUUUAGUAAAAGAUUUUAGUGAUCAUUAUUCAUUUAUAGGUAUAGGGUUAUUUCAAUGCUACACUCGAUGAAUGUUACACCGUGUGGAUUUUUAUAGUUGAUUUACACAUAUCAAUAUGAGUGUGUGUAUAUGAAUAGUAAGAUCUAUCUGGUGUAUUUCACUCGGUGUAGCGUAGUAUAAACCGAUAGGCAUGCAUUGCUCAAGUACUUCACUUUUAUCGUGCCUUAAAUAUGAAGUGAAAACUAACUCAAAAAGGGUAUUUAAAAGCCAUGAUUAAAGUAUACAAUCUUGUGCUGCAAAAAUGAUGCAAAUAAUUUGUUCCUCAAACCUAAUAAAUCCAAUAUUUUAAGACAUGGAUACAAUGUAAAGACAGCCAAAACUGUGGGGCUUUCAUCUUCUCUUUCUUGCAUUAAAAACUGCCCAUCUUCCAGCUUAGUUAGUUGCCCUUUUCUCUCUUCAAUUGGAUAUUUUCUUUGUCUUUUACUUCUCACUCAUCCCCCUUUUUCUCUCUUCCCACCUUCUUCAUUCUUCUCACACCAUUUUCAAUCACCAUAACAAAAUUUUGCUUCACUUUCUUGAUAUAUAUAUAAUCAUCUCUUUGCUUCGUAUUUUCAAGAACCGAGAGCGAUAAGUUGCGUAUUAGGAUCAAGAAGCGGUUUUUUCGUUAUGGUGAAAAUGAAAGAGUUCCCUUCUUGUUUCGGUGAGAGUGGUGUUCAGAUUGCAUCUUCAUCGAGUGCAAGUAAUAAAUCUGCAGCUCAAAAUCUUGUGACAUGCAUCUACCAUUGCCAUUCCGCUACCGUUUUCCGGCUUCAUCACAGUGACAUGGAUCAAGCAUAUCAUGGCACAAGGGCUCACAAUCGGAAUCGAGAAUCCCAGCCAAACAGCCCCUCUGCAAAGUCGAAAUCAAACCGUGGCUAUUCUCAAAGAGAAAAGGGUCCAAAAACUUAGUGGUGAACUCCACAACAAUCGAUAUCCAUUGGGACUUAUCUUGUGCUAAAUUCGGUGCCAGCCCGGAACCAUUGGAGGGUUUCCACCUAUCCGUUGCCCUAAAUCAAGAACUAUGCUUACUCCUCGGAGACUCACCAAGAGGGGCCCACAAAAGGACCGACGACUCAUCGCUAUCACUCCCUAAAGCAACUUUCGUCGCUAAAAGAGAGCACAUAUUCGGGAAGAAAUUGUACAAUUCGAAGGCGCAGUUUUACGACAAGGGGAAGAUGCAUGAUAUCAGAAUCGAGUACGAUUCGAGUGAGAGCUUCGGUAAGUGCUUGAAUAUGUAUAUUGAUCGAAAGGAGGUGUUGCAAGUGACACAUCUUAAGUGGAAGUUUAGAGGGAAUCAAUCUAUUUUGGUGGACGGAGUUUCGGUUGAAGUUUAUUGGGAUGUUUAUAGCUGGCUUUUCGAUAGUGUGGUGGGGAAUGCGAUUUUCUUGUUUAGAAGUCAUGUGGCGGAAAAGAAGCUGUGGAGUAAUCGGUCCCCGUUCGAGCCGUUUGCGUUGAAAAGAAGUCAAGAUAAUUCAGAUUUAUCACAAGGUCAUGGUUUUUCACUUGUUUUAUGUGCGUGGAAGAAUGAAUAAGCAAGUUUGUAACUCUAAUUUUUUUUUGAGUUAUUAUUGACUUUGUUGUGAGUGAAAUAUAUCUUCAAUUAGUUUUCUUGUAGCUAGUUUGGAGAUUCUGUAUUUGAAAUCGUUGUUCGUUUUUGUUCUAUGCUAUAAUCGAUGAAAUUCACCAAGUUAUAUUUUAAUAUAUCCCGUGAAUCAAAUGUAUAAAAUUGUUCGAUAUAUUUAACCAGGUGUAACAGCUCGAUGAUAUAUAAGUAAAAAAUCUUGUUGAUUCUUAUUGAUUCUUCAACUGGAAUUUCAAGAAACGAAGAUGUUAUUAAUUCCCCAUUUUCAGUUGAGAUAUAUAUAUAAUAUAUAUAUAAAAUAUAUAUAACCGUCAAUCUCUAUCCACUAUUUUUGCCAUCUUUUCAAUUCAGGUUUCGUUGAACCCAAGAAAAAACCUUCCAUUUUCUCUCUCUCCCAAUGGCGAACGCCGCCGCCGUGCUGCUCUCUCUCACCCCUCGUAAUCAGUUUCCUUUCCGCCGCCGAAUCAACCCCACCGCUGCCACCGUACGCCAACUACACAUCCCUCACCGCCACCAUCCUCUCCACCCUAGGCUUCCGCGACCUCGUCGCCGCCGGCGCGGCCAGCCUCUCCGCCGCCACGCCCACCACCAUCUUCGCACCCACCGACUCAUCCCUCCUCACGUGCCCCACGUGCUGCAUCCCUCUCCUCCUUCAAGAACACUCUGUUCCCGGCCUCUACCCACUCCACUUCCUGCGCACGUUAGCCUUCGGCACUAAGAUCGGCACUUUCGCCGCCAACCGCUGCCUCACCGUCACCACCACCUCCUCCGCCGCCGCUAGCAAGGAAGUCUUCAUCAACGGAGUCGAAAUCACAAAGCCCGACCUCUACAACAACGGGNNNNNNNNNNNNNNNNNNNNNNNNNNNNNNNNNNNNNNNNNNNNNNNNNNNNNNNNNNNNNNNNNNNNNNNNNNNNNNNNNNNNNNNNNNNNNNNNNNNNCAUCGUCCACGGCUUACAGGGCUUGGUCUCGCACUUAUCUCCGCGUUCUUGCACCGUCGAAAGCAUGACUUCUUUGUCCCUCCCCCAACGGCCGCCGCCCACGGCGGCGUUCCUCACAAUGCACUUCAUGCUGAAAGACGCCAUGACGACACUGCGCACCACCGGGUACAGUAUAGUCGCAUUGGCGAUGCGGGUCAAGUAUUCGGAGCUUUCGGACCUCAAAACCCUGACCCUUUUCGCCAUCGACGAUGAAUCCAUCUUCCUGGAAGGCGGCGGAAGCCACGCCUACGUGGCGGAGCUAGGGUUCCACAUUCUGCCCAACAGGCUCCUGACGGCGGCGGAUUUGAUUAGCCUGCCGAGAGGCACGGCGUUGCCGACAAUGGAACCUGGUCGGGAUCUGGUGGUGACCAGCUCCGGCGACGGAGGGCCAGUGGCACCGACGAGGAUCAAUUAUGUGAAGGUGAAGAGAUUUGAUCUGGUGCGGAACCAGAGGAUUGUGGUUCAUGGACUGUCAACGCCGUUCCGCCACGUGGACUGUCAUGGCUUGUGAAAGUCACUUGAAUUCAGUGUUACGUAGUUUGUAAAAUUGAACCUAUUAUUUUUUUUAAUUGGCUGUAAUUCACAAAAAUGCAUACUUCAAUGAAAUUGGAUAUAUACUCUGUUAUAUAGCAAAGCUUUAUGCUUCAUUCUCUGUUUCAAUUCCACAUGCAAUUUUCCCAUUACCGACCAUAUUUGUAAACUGAUACUAAUUUUCUAACCAACCAAUUGAAUCGGCCCGAAAAUUUCAAAUGGGUCGGUUUAUGUAUUAAUAGUAUGUGCUGGCAGGAUUACAAUACAUUAGGUUGUAUCAAAACUUCCCAAAAUAGCUAAAUGACUCUCCAUUCUACAAUCACUCCUUUACAAAUUCUUACGCUUUCGGUAUUAGAUUAUUAAAGUACACCAUUUACUGGAAUAUAUUAACUGUAGAGAAAUCGAAAAAGAAAAAAAAAAAGAAAACUCGAAAUCGAAUAGAAGAGGCGGAGACCGAUUACGAUGACUAAACCUAGAAAUUAACCUUGAACCCAAACGCGCAAAGUCCUGUCAUUAUGAAGUCCGGCAGAAACAAUCAUAUUCUCUGUUGGAUGACACGUCACACAGACAACAGUAUCGGUGUGCCCUUCGAGUUUCUGAACCAAGUUUUUGCCCUGUAAAUCCCACAAAUAGACGCAUUUAUCCUCUGAGCCACUCACAAUGUACUUCUCCCCCGACACUGAGAAUGUCGGCGUUAUGCAAUAUACUCUGUUCACAUGUCCCGUAUAUAUCUUCAAGAACUUCCCAGCUGAAUAGUUCCAUAGCUUCUGCAAUCAACAGCAAAACGUAAUACAGAUCAAAUUUCGUAUAUUACAACUCAAAUUUCGUAUAUUGGAACUCAAAUUAGCCACACGACAGAAAAAAACUUCCGGUGUGCACUUCACCAACAAAUCCCAUUUUGGCCACCAAAGUAUUAUCAGCUCUAGAUUUACUCUUCUUAAAAACUUCGUUACUUUAUGCCCUUAUGCAACGAUUUUCUAAUCAAAUGGUCACUGUACAGUAUAUCCAAGAUUAAAAACCACUCUUGAAUUACUUCGACAAUCUCAAGAUUUUGAUUAAUAGAACAGCUAAAUGUCAAUCCAAAUACUUCACCCCAUCGAAAUUCGACUUUUACGAUUUAGCGAAUUCAGCAGUGUUUAGCAUUCCGGGAUCAUGCAAUUUGAAAAGAUAGCAUCUUUCUUUCCCCAACAUUUGACAUUUUUUUGAAAUAGUACAGAAUCAACCCAAAACCUAAUAACGAUGAAUCUAAAUUAUAACACUUGCUAAACUGGAAUUUCCAGAAGAAAAAAAUAGAGAUUACCAGGGUAUCAUCCAAAGUGCCGACGAGGAUGAAUUUGCCGUUGGGGGAGAACUUAGCAAAAGACACAGCGGUGACCUUGUCAUCAAUCAGCGUCUUAAGCAGAGUCCCACUCGCCGCAUCCCAAAUUUUGCAGGAACCGUCGCGGCUGCCGGAAACAAUCAACGAUCCGUCUCGGUUGAAAUGCACCGACAUCACCGGCAGAGUGUGGGCCCGGAUCACGUGCACGCACUUCCCCGUCUUCACAUCCCAGAUCCUGACCGUCUCGUCGAACGAACCGGAGACGAUGAAAUUCGACUGCGGGUUGAAGUUCACGCAGAAGACGAAGUGCGUGUGCCCCUUGAGCGUCUUCACGCACUCGGCGGCGCGUGCGUCCCAGAUGCGGAGGGUGCGGUCGUCUGAUGCGGAGCAGAUGUAGGUGGAGUCGGAUGACCACGCGAGGUCGGAGACGCCGUCGGAGUGGCCGAUUAGGUGGGAGAUUUGGGUUAGGGUUUCGGUGGAAUAGACGAUUAGGGUUUUGUCGAGGGAGGCGGAGGCGAACAGCGCGCCGUUGUUGGAGAAUUUCACGGACGAGACGGCGGCCGUGUGGCUCGUGAUUACUUUCUUCAGGCGGUAGGGCUGGUAGGUAGGUGCACUGUUGGCACUGUUCGCCAUGGCAAUCGAACAACCACCCCAGCCUAACUCAAUUGUUUAUAUGUCAAUUAACUAAAUAUUUUUUUGUUUUUUGAACAAAUUAAUUAAUUAUAUUCUAAUAUAGUCGUUUUUUUUUUUUCUUAAUCAGAAAGCAUAUAUAUAUAUUUGCUAUACAUUUCAAUUCAAAAAUUUAAUCCUCCAAUUUCGUUGAUCUUUGAUUACAAAAAUGUGUUAAAAAAUUCUUAUUUUUCUUGUUCAUUGCAAAUCUAGUUAUAUUAGCCAACAAAUUCCACACCACCUUGACCAAAAGACGACGAUAUAUCGAAGAAAACACCGAGAAUCGAGAUCGAAGAGAAGAAAUUCACAUAGUUACAUUCGUACACUUUUGCUUUGUUGUGCCAUUUUUCUCUGAGCUGAAUAUAUUUGUUGUAUUUGUCCCAUAUUGAAUGAGAUUGAUACACUGGCAGGGCGAAACCAAUUGAUUAAAUUUACUGCUCUUUUUUUUUUUUUCGUUUUUUUACGUAAUUUAAUUAACUUUUUCGUCACAAUAAAAUGGUUUUGCAUUGAUGGAAAGAAGCCUAACAUUAGCCAAGUAUCUUAAUAGAAUCCAGAACAGGCUUCGCAAUGGGCAUAUUAACAAAUACAUGAAUUUGAACACACUAGCCACUAUGCAGCCCAAUCUUAAUAAAGCUACAACGUUUACCAUCUCCAAACAUAGAAACACAAAACUCGAAAGCGUUCGCAUAUGUUAACAUGCAUUUUUUCAGCAAUUGUUUUACUGAACAGCAUAAUUAUUGAACCACGCGCUAUAAGCAAUUUAAGUGAGAGAAAAAUACAAGAAUAAAUUUCAUGGGAAAUAAGCAAUCACCUUCGGUAUACUCAACCUUUUACAGCAUAACCUGUAAAUUGUAAGCUCUACAAGUAAUCCACCUCAUCGGAACUUUCCUCGAGAAUUGGAUGACUUUGAUCACUAUUAUAACUGCUCUCCGAUGAACUCGUAAACACCAAUGGAUCGUCGGAUGUAUGGCUGCUUGUCAGUGAGUCACUCUCACUGUUCACACCACUGCUGGUCAUUGGCUCUUCUACGAAACUAAGCAUCACAGAAAGUAAUAUCCAAAUUAAAAAACAUAAAUCACACAGGUUCUUUCUUAUUACCGGUGAGAUUUAAUUUACCUUCCCUCUGUAGGAAAAUCUGCGAGCACACACAAAUUAGGUCUUUCGUCCAAUAGCUCGCCUAGAGACAUGAAACUGCAUGAUUGUUUUGUCAGAACUAGUUGAAAUUAACAUGUGAAGUUAUUAUUAACUGUAUAUGAUGAUGCAUGCGUACCUUGGGGUGAAACUUCGACGGGACCAGUCAUUAUCCGAUGCCAGUCCCUCUCGGUUGGAUAUGUCCUGUUUGCACAUUAAAACCAAAAAAAUACUAAAAUGUAUAUUUGAACUACAAGGAAGAUGGAAGCAAAGGACGAAGGGUUUAUGUUUUAACACUUACAAGGUGCCUAAGGUACACGAAGCGUCCGGCAAGCAUUGCUGACAGCAAUCGAGAAACUUCAGCCUGGAUGACACAAAUUUCAGAUUAAUAUUUACCUUUGAGAGGACUGACCUACUCUUUCUAUGUAUUUCAAUCCUCUUUUUGACAUCAGUUCUACCUACAUGAGAUAUUCAAUCAAUCUUUUCUUUCUCGUUUUCUUUAAAAGUUGAAUCUAUAAAAAUCCAAAUAAUGUGACAUAAUGAUUUGACUUCUGGGAUCCAAGGCAUCCAUCAUGUUUGUGUUGUAUGUGUGUGUGUGUGUGUGUGUGUGUGUGUGUGUGUGUGUGUGUGUGUGAGAGAGAGAGAGAGAGAGAGAGAGAGAGAGAGAUAUGAAUCCUUACUUCUCUCAAGUGCAUACAAUCCCGUAAAAUCAAGACCUCUAGUAAGUUUGCACCUGCAUUGCCACCAAGAUUCCUGGAAGCAGGAUAGUCAAAACAUAAUGGAAACACAUAUGCGGGACAUAGAGUCAGCCGUGAAUCAAAAGAACUAUCCAAUAUCUAAGAGAAUUAAUCAUACCUGAGAAAGUCACCAGUAAUAGAGUAGGAUGUUGAAAAGUCAACAUACUUCAGUUUGCGGAAUCCCUGCAUUCACAUCAUAUAUCCAUUCCAAGUGAAGUUUCGACAACAUUGAGGGAGGAAGAGGAGAAGGUAAAGAAAGAAAAGACACAUUCAACAAGUAAUAACAAAUUUUUCAUCAUCAUGAAAGCCUACCUUAACAAGUGUCCGAACUUUAAUGUCAUGCAAUUUAAAUCCUCUUAGUGACAAUGAGGAUAAAGACGGGCAGUUAGUCACUAGAUCAUUGCACGUCGGUAAUUUUAAACUGUCAUCUCUACCUGAGAGUAAAUACUGUAACAUAAAUAAAAUGACUUUUCGGAACAGAAAGUACAUGGCUUAACUAAAAGUUCACCUGUUUUUGAUGAUUCAAAAUAUAGACGCUCUAUUAGAGGACAAGAUCUACUCACUGACUCCAGUGUCUGCCUCAGCUCCACAUGACUACAAAAAUGAGUGAUCAAGUAGAAAAUAACAAAAACGAAUAAACUAUAGAAAACAAGUCGAGAGGUAAAAUAAAUCAUCAACUACAUCUGAAGCAUCAACAGCUUUCUAAUAAUGCACAUCCCAGAUUGUUUUAACUUGCAAAUACAACAGGAGCAGUUUCGAAUCCGGGGCUUUUUAUCCAUUAUACAUGUAUUAGAUUGUCUCGUUUGGGAAAAGAGUUAGAACAGUUUACAGUGCAGUGAAUAAGACUCUAUUUAUCCUAAAAAUCAACUCAAAAAUUGUUCAUUAUGACAAAACUAUCAAUAAGCAAGAGACAAAAAGGGGUUAUUAAGGGUAAUUACAAAACCUAAGCAACUCGAAUUCAGGGAUGCAUAUGAACUAUGAAGCCCAAAACCCCCCUUAAACUAUACCUGUAGAAGAUUCACAUCUGUUUUCAGACAAUAGAUAGUUAUCUAAGACUAUCCACAAACUAGGUGGUCACCCACAAUGUCACCUGUUCUUCAUCUCCAGACCAUGAAAAUAACGAAGAGUUAGAGGAUGUAAUAGAAUAUGUUCCGAGUUUUGUCCUAGAUGCCAUUCAAUUGAUACUGGUUAUUGGUUUAACAUACCAAUUACAUUUCAAGUGCAUUAUAAACUGAAUAUAAGACAGUGACAGAGAAUACAUAAUAACAUGCAGAGACGGGAAAUUACGUAAGCAACUAAAUAGGUUUGAGAUACUCACAGGCCAACAAUUUCUAGGUCGAGCAAAGAAGGGCAAGCUGAUACUGCAGCUCCAAAUGCUGUAUUGUCCAUUCUAUCAAUAUUAUACAGGUGUAGCCUUCUCAAUAGAGAACUGGACAAGGAAAGCAAGGAGAGGAGGGUGAGACGCUUAGAGCAAAGGAUACUCAAGUUAAGCACAAGAAACAUAGCCUACUACAAAAUGGAAGCAUUAAAUGUUACCCCAGCGCACCACCAUCAGCAAUCAACGGAGCCAAGCAAGAUCUACUAAGUAUAAAUGACUCUUUUCCCUGUCUAGACCUUUUGUCAUUCCAAGAAAAUCCUGAAGUGUCUGAGGAAUUCCUCAUAGAAUAAACCAGUGGUUGAGACGAGCCUAGUGAUGCAGCAUCAGGACAGGGUACAACCCCAAGCUUAAGAGACCUACAAGUAAUAAGAAAAUCAGAGCCAUGUCUAUGGAAAAUGCAGCAAUGCCUACGUGCAAAAGUAUCAUUUGCCUACAAUCUUUCACAUAGAUGCAGACACUUGAGCAGAUAUAGCAAUUCUAGGUCAUGCCUCAACCAGAUAAAUCAGCCCAGCGGAAAAACGUAAAAGAAACAUGUUAAGAAGUGUAUUAUCUCCACAGCACGGAAGUUAGGUUUAUUGCAGAGUGAAAAAAACUGAAACUAAAUAAUCUUAGUUAACCAAUAGGGAAUCAUAAAAUCCAAGUUUCUUUAAAUAUGAGACAUGCACCAAUCACAUUAUUAAAUAUCAAAAUUAAAACAGCCACAUGAUUUUGCUGGCUAAUUUUUUAAGGUGGAAACAGGAAGAGAAACUAACAAGAUUUCGAUCAUUUUUCCUCCCCCACAUUACCCGCCCCAAAAUAGUGGCCCAAUAUUACAAGAAAAGGUAAAUCUCAUAGAUCUUACCGCAGAUCUUUUCCAGCUCGUUGGAUCAUAGUUGAAACUACCAUAUUGUUGAUCUUAGGCACUACUGUGGUCAAAUCAAUAUUGGAAUAGCACAACGGGUCAGCAGCACACUUAUGGAAAAAAGAGCAUGUAGCUGCUGCAUGGCAUACACUUUGAGUAUCGAGCAUUGAAAAUACCUGUAAAUAGACCGUAUUCAUACAGAACUGAAACGAGAGCGAAGACUACUAUGCAUCCUUGUCAAAUCAUUUCAUUGGAUAGACAUACUUUGUACAGACACAAAUUAUUUAACAAGAUAACAAGUACCUACAUGAAUAGUUAAAAGACAAGCAAAGAAAGCAUCCCCAAGUGGAAUCAAUUCACAGAUAGAAAAACAACGAUAAGCAAAAAUCUCCAGCAAUUACACUAGCUUUUCUUUUCAGGGAGAAAAGCACAAUUUCAUGCUGCAAAUACAAAGGUCAUUAACAAUAAAAAAUCAAAAUACGUAAAAUGAUGCCCCACAGAAGAAUUGACCCAAUAAAAUAGUACCAAAGAGUUCCAAUAAGACUUAAGCUCAAGAAACUUAGACACUUCAAAUCAAUUGGCAAACUGAAGCUAAUCAGCAGAAGCAUCCAAGUUUUUGGACAAUGUAACAAUCACCAGACAAUUACCAAUUAGGAGAAGUACAACAAUAAUACUACUAGUGUAUUCAAACACAAUGAAUCUACAAGUAAUUGACGAUCCAUUCCAAUUCAGUGUUGAGAAACAUUUGAUACCACAUACAAAAACGUUGCACAAUUUCAGAGACCAAAAUAUGUCGGUAACAGAGCAAAGUACCUUAAUAGUAAGAUCCAAUGGUAGAGCCCAAACGAAAGCGUUGUGCACGGAAGCGCGCCUCCUAGCGGAUCGAUUGGCAGCUUCAGUGAGAGCAGAGCCGAGCCGGAGAGCUCGGUCGAUGACGUCAUUCUGGUCCGAGUCGUAGUGCCUGGAUUCGAGAAUCCGAUCGAAGGAUAGGUCGAGAGCAACCGCGGACGAAUCGGAGAGUUCGAGAAACGAUUCCAGGAGCGCGUCCAGUGGAUUUGGAUUCGAUUUGGAGCUCAGAAUCCUGCUCGAGUCGGGGAAAAUAGAGCAGCAUGGGCGUUUCAGAUUGGGCUUCGGAGCAACGGAAACGGCGUCGUCGAUGAGAAGACUGCUAUCCAUCACAGGCGGUGGAAUCCUCUCUCUUCUCUUCUUCGUCGUCGUUUUAUUAUUCGUUCGAUUUUGUUUUCUGCGUUUUUUUUUGUGUGUGUUCUGAGAGGAUGAGAGAGAAGGCGGAGUGCGUGAGGUGGGGAGUGAGAAAAGAGAGUGACACGUGGCGUUUGGAAUUUGUCUACGUGGGAAGGGUGCAGUUCUCGGGAAAGCAAUUACGUCACCGUUUUAGUGACGUUAGUCUAAUCGAGGUCUUCCCUCUUUCUAGUGGUGGUCAACUAUUACUUUCACAUGGAUUUUAAUAUUUUAUCAUGAAAACAAAUAUUUAAUUAGAGAUCAAACUAUUAAAAAAGAAAUAGUAAUAUCAAAAGUGAAUAUGCAGCAUCACUUAGUAGAAAAAUAUACAAGAAAAUAAAAAAUUCUUUGAUGUAACUAAUUGAUUAAAACAAAAUAUGUGAAAACAAAUAAAUAUCAAAUAAUGAAAUUUUCUACAUAAAAAACGACUAUAUAUUUGGUUCCAACGCGAGCAACCAUAAUACUCAAUUAAUUCAAAUUAUUCAUUUGACUCAAAUCAAUUACUAUCAAGAUUGUGUUUGUCAAUUAUUGUAUGCCGAAUCCAAUUGUUCAAGAUAAAAUAAUUAAACGAUUUUUUUUAAAUAGUUGAUACAUAAUAAUAUAUAAUGAUAUCCGAUUUGUCCCGUACAAUAUAUAUUGCAUGUCGAAUACAAUAUAUUAGAUUUUUUUUUUGGUUUAAUUAAUGAAAUUAUGAUAUCCGUUUUUUUGCAUAGAGUUGAAAAUUAGUGUUUGACUUCUUAAAAAAAUUGAUCAAUCUUUAUUUUACAUAUUGUUAUAGUUUAAUUAAUUUUUUAUUUUUUUACAAAUUUUUACUAUUAUUCAAAACAUUAUAAAUAGCCAAAUUUAAUUGAUGAAAUCAAUUUAGUAGCAACUCUACCAUUCCCAUAAGCCUUGGCAGUAAUUUAGGACGAACUCGAUAUAACAAAAUCCAACUCGCCCGAGGCCCAAUAGUCGAGCCCAACGGCAACAAUGUGCCCUAAUAGAACACUCUACACGAGUGUUUGCAUUUUUAUUAACAAACUAAAUCAAAUUAAUUUUAAAAAUCAUGGCGCGUUUAAUUAAUAAAUUUCCAGAACCUACACGAAAUGCAGCUCAAUACGCCAUUCGGUAUGAUCGAUUUGGCGCUGUGGCCAGAUUAUUUUGGCGCGGCUGAAGCUUAUCGCAGCUGAAUCAUGGCCUCAUUGGCGACGGUGAGUGAGUUCCUUCUGUCAUGGUGUACAUUUUAUAUUUUUUUUUUAUUUUUUUUUAUAAUUGCACAUUUUAUAGCCGAUUACGGUGUUUUCCUCCAAAAACUAAAAAAAAAAACAGAGAGCUGGUUAUGGUGUUAUUAUUUACUGGAAAAUGGAAGAUUCGUGCUCAUUCGUCUUCUGUAUAUUUGUAUGCUGUUGUCCUCCUUUUACCCUGCCCAUUUUUUAGUUGAAUUGAAAACUCACAGUCAGAUCUCUUGUUUCUGCGCGUUUUUCCCUGUCUAUGUAAUAUUGUGAUGUAUCAAAUUGAUAGGUUUUCAAUAAAUAGUUCUCGAAAGUUCUGGUGUUCGUGCCACGGUGAGUGAAUUGGAGAUUUCUGUUGGAGAGAUAAUAUUGUGAUGUAUCAGAUUGAAAGGUGUUCAAUAAAUAAUUCUAGAAAGUUCUGGUUUCGGUGAGUAAAUUGGAGUUUUCUGUUGGAGAUAUAAUUGACUAAGUUACCCACGGAAGGAUUAGAUCAAUUUUAAUACCGUUCCGACGUUUUUAUAUGGGAGUGAAAUUUUAAGAAAACGCAACCGUUGAAGGAUCAGAUGAGUUUUUUUUAUUGUCGAGUAUUAAUUCAUGAAAUGCUCGAUGUAAUAUCUACAUGGAUUCAUUUUCUAUUUUUUCACGAAAUUCGGAAAAAAUUGUGAGUGAAGAAUGUAUUGGAACAAAAAUUAGAAGUAAUGAUAUUCUCUGUGAUUUGAUACUAGGUGAGGAUGCAUAUGUCUGGAAAAAAGAAGAGAAAUAUCUGGUACCAGUAAUCUGAAAAAUGUGGUACCGUUAUUAUGUAGAUUUGCCGAUAUACGUCUCAGAUGAACUCGUUUGAUGAAUUCAUUGGUAAUGAUCUGAGACCUCAAUUGCUUUGAUGAAUAGUUACUAAUUUGUAAAUGUGAAUUAAGAAGUUAAAGAAAAGAAUUCUUGGUCUGAUUUGGCUCUUGGUGCUUCUGGCAAUUUGAAUAAUCUCACAAGGAGUUGUGGUUCGAUCUGAAGUUAUUUUGGUAUUAAGAUGAAUGUGUUUGCUAAUUGUUAUGAAAAUUCUUCAGUAUUAAGAUGCGAGUGUUGGUUAUGUUUACAGCAAUCCAGAGGUUGAAGGACAAAGAGCGUCAUUGCAUGGACAUGUCACUGCAGUAACUGAAGGUCUCGAACAUGGCAGGCAUCAAUUGUUCAAGAAACUGAUGAAGAUGGCCUCUGCGCAAUGCUAUGGUGAGAAACUAUGCUUCGGCCAUUGUUCUAAGGUCUCAUUCUCUUGUCUGAGAUUCUUUGACAUCUUUUUUUUUUUUUUUUUUGAGAAAAUUUAAUUUCUUGUAUUCCUUUUGUUUUUAUUAUGCUUGUUUGUUAUUUAUUUGCUUCUUUUAAUCUUUCUUGAUAAUGUACUCCACAUACUUCAAACUAGAGAAUCUCUUCAAUUAUUUUCUGGAGCUCUUCCCUUCGUUUACGUGUUUUUUCUUUCUUUUGUUUUCUUUAGGUUAAGAGAUGUAUUUUCGAUCUUGAUUUGUACUUCCACCGGGAACGAUGAUUCCAAGCAAUUUAGCGAUCUUGUUUGGUUUUUUUCUCUGCUUCACUAUUUAUCAGGAUCUAGAAUAUGUUGCAUGAAGCGGAGUAUGAUUAGCAGAUUAGCUUAGACUGAAUAUUUGAAUUGAAGGUUGCAGAAAGAUUGUCUGAACUGGUUGUUUUUGUGAAGAAACUUUCUUUUCCUUUUGUAAAUAGGUUGUAUACGUAUGAUAAACUUGUCAGCACAAAUCGUACUUACUGUAAUUCCUCAUAUCUCUUAGCUGCAAUUACUUAAAUGCUAAAUCACAAAGCAAAAUUAUUGGUGAAAUUCUUGUGCACUUGAUUUCUACUCUUGGUUACUAUUUCCUAGCAAUUUCUUUUCCUUUUUUCAGAGGAGCAUAGUUUCUCAGUAAUGUUUGUAACUUAAUUUUUUACAGUGAUAUUGGCGUAAUUUGUGGAAGUUCUGUUUGAUCUUCAAAUAUACCUCCCAUCAAGAUAUCUGAGAAGGUGGAGGAUAAUAAAAUGCUACCUUUUCCUUUCCUUCAAAUUGUGGCCAAAUAAUUACAUUAAUAUUUAGAUUGAGGAAUGCUUAAUGCUUUCUCAGGGGACGUGAAAAAGAAGUCUGUUAUUCCUCUCCAGUAACUCCAAGAUGAGCUGUAACACGAUGAGGUCUAAUUUUCUUAACCUGACGAAGCGUAGAUCCGAUAAGGUACGCAUAUGAAGCAUAAUCUAUUUAUAUACUUGAAAUGGUAAUGGAUUAGGGUAAAGCUUAAAAAACACGGGUUCGGGUUUGGGGGGAAAUAGGGAAAGUUGGGUUGGGCCUUGGGGGCAGGUCUCGAUUUAGUUAAUCGAUGACACGGUCGGGGCCUUAAAACUCAGCCCGGUAUGGUAAAGUCUUGGGUGUGAAUAUAAAGUGGCUACAAAUAAAGUUUGUUCAUAAUUAAGUGAUAUUUACAAGGACUGGAGAAAAAUAUCAAGAUCUUAAGAGGGUCCACCAAGUAAGAUUUUCCCUUACAAGAUAUGGUGGAUACUAACAAUUUUCCAAUUUAACCGUUAAGCCAAAUUUCACAUGAUUUUUGGAGGAGCGGUUUUGUAGCUUGUGACUGGUAAUAAUGUUAUGUGUAUACAAUAGUAUGCCUCUGUUGCUAAAACUUGCAUCCAUCGGCGAAGGGAGUUUUCCUUUUCGAUCUUUGCCAAAUGUACAAUCGAAAUUCAUCUAAAUCUGCCGACAAUAAUUAAAUGUAAAAUAUAAAUUAAAGCUUAUAUUUUGUAUCUACUUUCCUCAAAUUCUGUAGGAUUUAGGGAGACAUUUAAGAGACAGAUUUUAGUGGUAAAUUGAAAGAAAGAGAGAGGAUAGAGGAGGGAGAGUGAGAGUGGAUGCUAGAGAGAGAAAGCGAUCUUAAUAAGAAAAAUAAAUUAUCAGUAAAAGUAGUACUAUAAUUAGCAUGCCGGUCGAUAAUAAUCCGAAUUGGGGAUGAUGGAACAUGGACAUUGUGGUGAUGUGUGUUGCAUUAUGCUGACAUGGCAUCACUCUUUCUCUCUCAAGGUGAAAAAAAGUCAACACCAAUUUAGGGAUGAGAUGGAUAUUGUGGUUGAUGUGGGUUCCAUUACAUAUCUUAUGUUGGCCGCUUGGGCAACACAAGUGUUAGGACAGAUAUAUAUAGAUACUGCAUGGGAUGGGCUUUGUUUUACUAUACAUUAACUCGUGCGGUGCGCCAUUUCUUGUAAAGUCAGAUAAGCCUAGACAACCCACUUCCAACAUUUCUUCCUCAUCCACAUCAAAUCCAUCAAUUUCUUUUCCCCUUUCUUCGUAUUUUUUUAAGUUUUACUUUAGCUUGUUCGAAAAAGUUAGAUGUUCAUCCGAAUAUAGCCCUAGUAGGUAAUAGAUCAUAUCAAUACUGUAAAAGAGCAAUUGUGGGUGAUUCUCUCUUUUCCUGCCUCUCCUUAAUGGCCACUAAAACAUCUUAUUUACCUUUAGAUUUUUAGUAUAUUAAAAUCUAUGGAGUUCAACGAUUCAUAAUAACAAAUUAUUUUGAGUUAAUUUGUCAUACAAUAUUUAAUACAAAGUUACUUUAGAUAAUUCGUCCGAUGAUGUUCAAAAAUCGAUUGGGUAGCUCAAGAGUCCUUGAAAUCAGGUAAACCCGAAACCUCUUGGUCUAAAUUUGAACUAGGCAUAUCAUCACCCUAAAAAACUUCUCAACAAAUCAAAAUUCUUAAUACAAAUACAAAGUGGGGCUUUUUUUUAGUUCUUCAUUGUAAUUCUUUGAUAGAGAAAAGGUAUUGGGGUUGGACUAGUUUACGAAAGCAGGAACUUUUUCUGUGCAUGCAUCCAAUAAUUCAAUUGGUUGAGGUCUCCAAAUCAAUAUACUCUUUAUAUUCAAGAUUUAGUGGGUCAUCGUGAAUUUUAUCCGAGAACUGGUGCUUGUCUAUCAGUUGAUAUUUAUAUAUUUGUGGCUAUAUAUUUACCUAUAUUAUAAUAUUUUAUAGUGCUCCAAGAAAUUUAUUGCUAUGAUUUAUUAUACUUUUGAUAAUUUUAUUUACAUUAAGCACACCAUUUACAUGUACAUGGUCAGAGUACUCUGUCAAAGAGUACUUUGUCCAUGUGGAAGUUGAUGGUUCCUGGGUUACAAUAAGCUGCAUAAUAGAAACUUCUAGCAACUGUGAGAAAGUUUUGCUUCGUCUGUGAAUCUAAAUCGUCUGAGGAUUUUGUAAGAACUAAUUUCACUAGUUCUUGCAUGUCCGAUUCUAUCUCUGCGGUUGUGAUGCCUCUAGUAUCAGCCAUGCAUCCUUGCGCCUGUUCGAAACAAGUAGAGCAUUAAAACAUUAGAAAAAAAAAAUUAUUUUUUUGAAUUUUUUUGUUGAAAAAUGAAAAAUGAAGAUUAAAUGAAAAGAGAAAAGAAAAGGCAAAGAGGAGACAAGAAUUACAAUUAAGCUUGGGAAUUAGUGUCUGGCAGGAUUCAUGUUAUAAAUAUGUGGUUAUGUAAUGAUUGUAUAAUUGAAGAAAUGAGCCAUAAAGAUAGAUCCAAAAUCUCACAUGGCAAAAAAUGUGAUACUGUGCGCGGCUGUUUGACAAAAUUCUAUCAAGAAAGAUAACCGGAAAUAGGAAAUUUUGUCGCUAACCUUUCGGUGUUGAAAUAGACGCAGUUUACUGCAAACUCUUGUCGUGGUCUCCAAUAGCUGCUUGUACUUAGGAUCUGACAAUAAUAGCUCCUCAGACGCCCAAUGAUCACCGCCACCACCGCAUAGAUUUAAUGUGCGGACGAAUAGCUCCGCAUUCCCUUGUCCGAUUUCUCCUCCCUCUUCCCAUAUCUUGAGCCACUUAUGCCACUGCACAUUUCAUGUCAUUAGUCAAGACAUUUUUUUGUCACUAAAUUAAGACUUAAGUGGCUUUAACAUUGGCCACUCUAGAAUUUUUUUCGCAAUUUUUAUUAGCAUUAAUUAUAUUUUUUUUUUUUACUUUAAAAAUCAAUAAAAUAUUAUAUAUAUAUAUAUAUUGGAAUGAUAUUUAAUAAAAAAAAAUUGAAAUAAUAAAGAAUGAAAAGUAAGAAUUUGUACGGGCAGGAAGAGAUGAAUGAAGAUUUUGGAGUUUUACCGCAUGAUUGAGUGGCUGUUGGAUGUUUCGGCCGUGUGCCAACAGUGUAUCCAAUGAGAGCUGGUUUAGCGUUCUGAGCAAUGUCCCGACAACACUGCUUCUUGUUUUAUUGUACCUGCAAUACCUCUUUUCUAUUACUCCAGAGGCCAAGCUCAUAUACUUUUUUUUUUCUUCUUUCAUAUCCGUUUAUAUAUUUUAAUUAAAUAAUAUUGAUUUUUAUUUAAAUAUGAAUAUUAAAUUAGAUUUAUGAGAUUAAUUAGGGAAUUUUACCUCCCUCCAUUUGCAUACUUGUGGAGAACGCUGCCAUGUUCAAAUUCAUCGACAAGGGCGCGUUUCUGAUCUCUCGAAAGUUGCUGUUGCUCGAUAGUUUCGACUAAAAUUGUUGUUUUGGCCCAUGCUAAGCGCGCUCCCGACUUCUCCGGCUCGAAUAUGCAUGCAGCGGAUAUGUAGUACCCUAGUAAAGCACUUCUUUCACUUAAACCAAAUUCAUCAAGGCUGCAAUUUCUGAACCAUCUGCACCAAAAGAUUAAAUCAAAUAAAAUAACUUAUCUUUUCGAAACAUUAAAAAAAUCUGGAAGAAAAGAAGAAAAAAAUUAAUCUUACUUUUGUAUGCUUUUCCACUCCCGCUGAUGCAAGGCCUGACAAUUGUUGUAGUCCAAUUUUGCUAGUUCCAGAUAGGUGUUAUUGUUGACGUAUGGCAUCCUGAAGAUAAAUGCUGAAAAAUUAUAACAUGCAUAUAAUUUUAUUACUGUAAAGUAAAUUUUCAUGCUGCAUCGGUUAAUUAAAUUCAUUCGAAAUACAAUAAUUCUAACAGUACAAAAAUCAAGCAAAAAACAGUACAAGAGUACAAUGUACGAGACAAAUUAGCAAGAAUCUUCAUCUAAUAUUAUAUUAUUUAUAAAAUUAAAUAAUCUUAACUACGUAAGCUAAGCAUCACCUUCUAGAAUAUGCAUUUUUUCUUUUCUGUCACAUUAUGCUAAUUAAUAUGGUUAAUUUUGAAAGGGAAUUUGAUGGUGUCAGAAGAUAUAUGUUGUCCUAAUCUUUGUGGACAACUAUAUUGUAAUUGUAAAUACAUGGCCGCCUAAACUUGGCUUUUGUGCUCAAACUCUUUCAAUUAACAGCUGUUGCAAAUAUUAAUUGACUUUAAUUUUUAAUGUUAAUAAUUAGAAGAUAAGAAUACGAAAUCAUGUCACGUGCUAUCCAUGUGAUUCAGAUGAAAAGCAUAGGCUUGCAUGAAAAAUUCAUUCAUUUCUUAUAGGUAGGGAUUAAUAUUGACUGCUGUUUCAGAAUGUUCCUCGAUUGAUACAAAUCGUCAAACUUAGGACUUUCAUAAAAUUUGAUUUUUUUUAAAAGCUAAUUCCAAUUCAUAAUUUGAAAAUUGGAAUGGAAACACUUAUUCCUAACUCUGAUUUUUUUUUUUUAUUGGAAUUGACGAGUAUUUAAUGUAAAUUUUGAAUAUUAUUUUUUCCAAUUUUUCGGUGUUAGUCUAGCAAAUUAGAAUCGAAUCGGGAAUUGACAUGUCAUAUACAUAUUUCAAUUCCGAUCAAAAAAUAAAUUGGAAAAUCCGAAUUUGGAACGAAAAAAAUCGUUCCAAAAUCAUAACUUUUUGGAUCGAGCUCGUUGGAAUUCGAAAACCCCGUUUCGAUUUCCACCUCUAUUUUGUACAAGUCAAGAUUUUGUAUUCAUGCUUUUGCAAAAACUAGUAAAGUAAAAUAAUGAUGGUAAAACGGUAAUUAGUAAAAACAGUUAAGAAUUAGUUAAGAGUACCUGUAUAAGGUUUUGCCAAUCCAAACAUCGUCUUCGCCGCCGUACUGUUCUAAAUAGAAUCUUGUUUCGACUCGAGGUAGACUAGCGUACCAUGGCACAUCUAGUGCAUAUCCCACCUGGAAUAAUAAUUAUAUUAUUAUUAUUAUUAUUUAAUCGUUUAAAAUAAAUAAAUAUAAUUAAUUCAGGGCUCAAAAGGCUACACGAUUAUCAAAUUGAGCCACUUAGACUUGCUCAAUUGGAUAGGCAUCCACUACUAAAUUGAUCAAAAAAUUGCAUUAACAAAACGCCAAACUUAUGAAGAAAAAAAAAUUAAUUAAUUUGUUUUCUUGUACAAUGUCAUUAAGCUUGUGGCAAGUGGCAUAUGUCCUAAUCAUCAAAAUUUUGCCCUUGGAAUCAUGUUACUUUAGAAAUUUGUUUGAUUGGAGAGAUAUGAAUGUAAUAAAACCUGGUUAUUUAUAUGAUAUGUGUAUGUAAUUAUGUGUAGAUCUAUUGCUGAAAUUCACAAAAUAUAAAUGAUUAGGUGUAACAUCUAAUUACUCAGCGCCUCAAACUAGAAUUUAACUUAAAAAAAAAUGGCAUUUAAUUAAUAAUAUAUUACAGUUAACAAAAUCCAUGAGAAGGGGGCCUAACACAAAUAAAUAAAUAAAUACCAACUUAGAACUUUUCAUUAUAUAAAAUAUAACUCAAACUCCCUCACUUUUAGUUAAUGUUUAAGCUUAAUUAAUUGAAGGGGACAACGAGAAAAACAAAAGAUUUUAAAAAUAAACCCUUUUGAUUAAGCUGGCAUUUAGCAAAUUAAUUAUUAUUUUAGUAUCCUACUUUUCUUUUAAUAAGUAAGAUAGAAUCACAUAUGACAUGUCUGAUCUGCUUCCUAAACAUGUGUAUGUCUCUCUUUUCUAGAUAACUUUCAUACUACUAAUAAUAUAUUUAUUCUCACCAAAAGUUUCUUCACUUUUAAAAGUAAACCCACAACAUUGCAUGGGCCAUAAAGAAAAUUAAAAAAAAAAAUUGAAUAAAAAAUCUUCACCUUUAAUAAUCGGAAAAAAAAUCACUAGUAUAAGUAAUCAGGUGUAGCAUUUAACUGCCCGAUGUAUCGGGAGUUAUAGUUAUCUUAGUGGCAGUGGAAUCGCCACAUCAGGACAUUUAUCUACGAGUUAGAAGUGUGGGUUUUAUCUACAUUAUUAAGAAACACACACUAUCACACACACACACACACAUAUAUACAUAUAUAUGCAUAGUAAAGGGUAUAAUAAUAUUGAAUAAAAUAAACUGACCUCGCCGGGAAGGUCUUUGGUAAUAAUCCACUUAUCCAAAAGCUGAUUAUUAGCUCUUUUUUCUUUCAAAAACUUAGCCGAAAAACUAGCAGCAAAUCCAAGAAUCUCCUCUCCAGGAAACAUCAACUGAGAAGCCCUGUACAAAUUGUACAUCCCGGUCACAGCCUGCGUUGACUGCCCCGCGAAGCAGAAGAACUCUCCACCCUUCUCAAAAUGUUUGAACACCUCUGCUUACCAUCAUACAAAGUUAGUUAAUAUGUAUCCACUACAUGCACGGACCAUGAACCAUACGGUGCACCUGCAUAUUAUUCUUUUAAUAUAUAUAAUUAAUGAAUUAAUUACCUGCAGAAAUAUUGUAGCCAUGCAACCUGAGAAGCCUGAAACCCAUGGCCGUGUCAUCAAUAUCCUGAACUUCCGAGUUCCUCGCCCAGCAUAUUCCUUUAUCCGUCCAGUAUCUGUGCACAUAUUCGAUACAUUCCUCGAUUUCGUCCCGGAAAUACCGAGAAACGCCUAGCCGUUGCAGCUUGUCCACCGCCCAAAGAUGCUCGAACAAGUCCACCGGGUACACAUUCGGAACUAAAAUAAUUAAUCACAAAUUAAAUUAAUUAGUUAUGAAAAAUUAAUUAAUGAAUAACAAUAUUAAUUAAUUAGGAUUAGAAUAUUUACCUCCACCGUUGAAUUUACGAACAUAAUUAGUCAAAUACUGGAGGCAAUUAAGAUCUUUGGUUUGGUGGAGGGCAAAGGCAGUGGAGGAAGGAGAGAAAAGGAAAGAGCCAUCUGAAGACUGUAAUUUCAAUAGCUUUUGCCACGUCAGAUCUGCCAUUCCUUCCAAGCUGUGUAGUAAUGUUGUCGGCACUUUGUGCAUUAUGUCCUUCGGUAUCCUAUUUUAUACAUACAUAUAUAUAUCCCCCCACACACACACACCCAAUUAUUACACACAUAUAUGUAGGCAGAAAUAAAAAAUUAAUUUAUACAUAUAUAUAUGGUUUUUUGGACCUAUCUUUAUCAUAUACUUUUAUGUAUGUGACAGAUAAGGUUGCUUUCAAAUAGUGUCUUUCUCUUUCAUUCAUUUGUACAUGCUGGAAUAUUAUAUAUAUAUAUAUGUAUAAUAUAUAUAUAUAUAUAUAUACACACACACACAUACCUUGUGAGCUUAAGGUCUCGUUUAGCAUAGAUUUGUUUUAAACCAGGAGAAUCUUGGUAUGGGAAGUCUAUAUCUAACUUUUUGGCUAAUUCAAUGAGUGAUGGUAACGCCACUUCAAACCCAAUCGGCAUGUGCUCUUCAUUUUCUUCCCCUAGCUUCUCUAUAUUCUCUUUUAUAAAUAUUAUCCCUGCCAAAUAUUUACAUUUCAAAUCUAAUUAAUUAUUUUUUUAUUAUAUUAUAUUAAUUUAAUUAAUUAAUUAAGUAAUUACCUUUAUCGGUUUUGUGGGGAUGUAAGUUCCAGUAUCUCAAAGCAACUACACAAGCUAACGUGUUGAUGAUUCGGUCGUAGAUUGAGAAAGUGUAGUUGGCGCCCCACGACCCGUCGGGGAGUUGGUUUUCCGAAAUCCACUCUAGGCUCGACGGGAACUGGGGCGCCGGCGCCGUCGUCAUGCCGCCGCCACCGUUGAUGUCCUCCACCAACGCCACCCACGCGGUGUCGUACGGAGAUACGCUUAUCUCUCCGUCGCCCAUCGAAGUCAAAAUCGAUCUCACCGAUUCCACCAGUUCCCUUAUCUUGUCAGAUGAUUCGGCCUCCUUCUCCUUCUUUUGAUGCAAAAGUAAACCAAAAAAAAAAAUCAAAAGUGGGUAAUCAAAUCAGAUUUGACUAAUCGAAACAAAAGCAACAAAAUAACAAAAAUGUUUACUGAUUAUUAAUUUAUAUUAUGAGUAGUGUAUAUAUAUAUAUAUAUAUAUAUAUAUAUAUAUAUAUAUAUAUAUAUAUAUAUAUAUAUAUAUAUAUAUGAGCAAAAGAAAGAAAAAUGAAUUGUGUUCCUACCUUAUGAUCAGUACUAUUUGUUCGUGAGUCAUCUUCCACGAUCUCGUGCCACUUUAUCACCGGCAAACCACCGUUCUGAAUCACAUCUAUGUAUUCUGCAUUAUAUUAAAUCACCAUCCCGUUAAUUGUAAUUAACAAACACUAAUUAAUAUAUUAAAAAAAUAAUAAUAUUUUUUUUAGUAAUUCAAUUUUAAUUUCAAGAGGGGGUUUAUGUUUUUAAUUAUGUUAUUUUAUAUAUGUCUAUGUAUGUAGAAUGAAUGAUUACCUUGUGUACGAGGUUUGAAAAUAGCAUUACAGUAGUGAAGAGGACAACUGGAAGUAAGUAGUUGUCUGGAAAACCCUGCAAUGAAAAUUGAUGUAACUUUACAGCUUGGGAAUUUCAGGAAUCAAUCAUAUCGAUUCCAAAUGGUAAGAAAACAAAGCGGCAAACGUCAAAAGAAACAUCAAAAUGCAACCCAAAGUUUAACGUUCAUUCAAUCACACUCUUAACCAUUUAAAGAAAUCAAAUUAUAAUUAAACACGAGAAAUUAAAAAUAAUAAAAUGGGGGUCAUCAACAAACUGCGCGCGUGUGUGUGAGUGUGUGAGAGAGACUGAGGAUUCACCGGCAGGGAAACGAGUUGCUGCGGGCGGCAAAAGAGCGCCGUGAGCGGCGGAUGAUCGGAGGAGAGAGGCGGAGUGGUGGGAAGUAGUAAAAGACAUGUUUAUUAUAAAAUUUGUUGUGGUGGUUGUUGUUUAAGAGAGAGAGAGGAAUUGAAAGAGGGGUUUAUAUAGAAAGAGAGAGAAAGUAGAUGAGAGAGAAAGUAGAGAGAGAGAGAGAGAGAGAGAGAGAGAGAGAGAAGGAGAAGACAGAAAGGAAUUCCCAAGAGAUUCCCGCGAAUGGGUGCAUGGGAUCAUCCAAAUUCAUGAGAAUGAGGGCACUCCUGUUCUUUUCUUUCCUUCCACCCCCCUUUUAUAUAAUAAUACAUUUUUUUAUUUUUUAUUUUUAAAUAAUAUUUAAUUAUUCAGGAUCCCCACCCCUCUUUUUUGUGUUAACCCCAUUAAUUAAUUAAUUAAUUAAUUAUAAUUCUAUAUUUCACUGUAAUAGUUUUGUUAUGAGAUCAGUACUGAUUUAAUUAGUUUGACUUAAUAUACAACGGAAUGAUUUUAAUUUAAUGGGUGAAAUCUUGGUGUUAUUAUUGUGUUACUAUAUUAUAUAUUGGAAUUGGAAAACUCUCUCUGUAUAUACUGAUAUUUCUUCUGAGGUAAGGAAAAAUAAAAUAAAUAUUAAAUCCAACACUACAAAAUAGCAAUUUGGAUUCCUAUGUUACGAAUCCUAUGUUAUAGUACUUGGUAUAUAUAUUGUAUUUUAUUUCACCAAUCCGUAUACGCAACACGUGUACUAUAAUGAUUUUAUUUUUAAUUGACAAAGACAACACUUGGUACAUUCUGGUUUGGUGCAACAAUUUGUAAAUAGAUGUUAAUCGCAUUAAAUUAAUUAUUAGUGACGAACUAAAUUUAGAAAAAUAUUAAUAAAGAAAUGAAAGAGUUCAGAUAAAAUGUAAAGAAAUUACUCAAACAGUAGAAUUAAAAGAACGUUAUACAGUAGAAAAGAUGGUCACUUCACAAUUUUGUAGUCACACACGGACGCAGUGAUCUUAUAUGAGAGAAUACAUGUAUUCGAUGAAAGAUAAUGUAAAUUAAUUAAUUUAGGUAAUAAAUUAAAUAUUUGUAUGUAUUUUAUUAUUUUUUCACAUUCUGAAAAAUACAGUACUGGUGAGUUGUGCAUGGACCGGACCAGUCGCUACAAUCAAGAUUCAGGUUUAUUUGGUUUUGCAACUUUUGGAAUUUGGUCCAAUUAUAUCACUGGGUUCUUUUUUCUUUUUCUUUUUCUUUUUUUAUAAAAGGACUUUUCAGAUUAUUUUUUUUAAUAGAAUUAAUUUGGUAAUUUACCAUAUUAAUUCUAUUAAAAAAAAUAAUCUUAAAAAGUCCUUUUAUAAUAAAAGAAAAAGAAAAUUUACAAAAUUACCUUUUCAGGUAAAGUCUAUUUACAAAAAAACCCCUCGUUCUUUUAGAAACUACAUUGACCCCCUAUAAAAGAGUUGAUGUAAGAAAUCUACAAAUUGCAGGGUGGAUUUAAUUAUGAAAAACAAGGGCGAAUUUUGUAAAACAAUAAUAAUUGUUGUAUUAAGUAACUGGAAAUCAAUCUAAGUUGAGAAUAAUCUCAUACAUUAAAAUCUUAAUCAAGGAUUAAGGAAUCAAAAAUAUAUAACAAACCUUCAAAGAAAAUGGGACAGUUACAUCAGUUCAAAAUCGAUGUGGAAGAUUGACAUAAAGGCUAAAUUAUGUUUCACUAAAUCAGAUAAUAAUAAGAAGUUGGGAUAUAUUUGAUAAAACAACAAAAAGAUGAUUACAAAAAAGAUUAGUCUAAUCACAUAAAACAUCAUAUACAAAACUAACUUAAACCGGUAACAAGUGUUUGUUUCUAACGGAGAUUGUGGAAUCUUGUGUUUCUUUGAUGCUUUUUCAAUUAAUAACUGGCGUUUUCACCAACCUUGUAUCAAUUGUAAUGCAUGGAAUCUAAUUAAAAUAUAAACCAUGGUCCAAUAAUUUUGGUUCCACUUGUCUUUUCUUAUUUGAAUGUUCUAAGCCCAGUGUAUGAUAUGGGCCGGGCUCGUGAAUAGAACAAAUAAGGCCGGUUUGAAUUUAUAUUAAAUAAAAAUCAAGAAAGGAUCUGAAAUGUUAAGUGUCGUUUCAAUUUUAUUAAUACUGUGAUUUUGAACUCAAUUUUGAAAAAAUGCAAAACGCAAAAAGUGUAGUCCUUUGAGAUAUAUUUCUAAUACAACUUGAAUCGUUUAGAUUGGAUGUGGGAUGGCAAAGUUAUGCAUUAAUGAGUUACGUUUUGAAUUUUAAACAACUCAAAACAUCAAAGUUGUGGGCAGUGUUCAUUGAAUCAUGCAUAUUUUUCUCCUCUAUCAUCCAUUUUUGGUGACUCAAGUUGGAUUCAAAAGUUAACUCAACAAACUACAAAUUCCGUGUUUUGAAUUUUGCUACAUUCAAACUAAAAAAUUAUCAAAAUCAUGUUUAAAGUCAAAACAGUAUGUCUAAAACUGAAACGAUAUUUAUCACGCCCGUAAGGAAAUUUGUUUUGACAUGAGGAAACAAAGAAUAUACACAAAAUGAUUUAAUUUUUGUUUACUUUUUUUUUACGAGAGAUCUCGAUUUCUUCGCCAUCUUCUUAUUUCCUUUUCUCUGGCCCGUUCUCGUUGUUUGGUAUGUAUGAUCCAUUAAUCUUAAAAUAUAAUUGAAUGUAAAACAUGCAAUAUCUAAUUAUAAAUAAAUUGUCUCAAAUGAAAAAUUAAACCUAUAAUUUUAAUAAUUAAAAUCCAAAUAACCUUUUCUAAAUCUAACGGGCUAAGCUACGGUCGUCUCUAAAUUUAAAAACAUUACAAUUUUGUUAGCCCAAUUAAUUGGCCCAAAAUCCAAUAAACUACCUGAAUUGGGCCACUUAAUUUUGAUAGGCCCAAUAAAUAUCACGCGCUCAGCACGUGACACCCUCUCCGAAUCGCUAAACUCCAACAAACCACCUUAAAUAAAAAAAUCACAGUAAAAGCAUGGUUUCCUUCCGCUUCCCGUUCUUGUUUUCUCAGCCACCAAGACCGCCCCUUUCCGCCACCGCCGAUGUCUCCUCGCGAUCCUUCUCCGCCACCACCACCGCCGCAUUAUCAGUAGCCGCCGCAUUAUCAGUCGCCGGAGCCGGCGUUGCUCUCUCCCAGAACUCCGACAACCCAUUUCUUCAAUGGGCAUUGAAUUUAUUAGCGUCCAACAGAAAUGGCUUCAAUCCGAUGUGGGGUUCACUUUCUCUCACCGCAAAUUCGUCGCCGGUCACCGAAUCGAGGACUGGAACGUCAUUUCCAGCUGUCCUGAAAGAUUCUCAGCGCCUUCUCGGAAUUGGAUUGCGCAGAAAAGCUGUUCUAGGGUUGAAAAACAUCGAUGUUUACGCUUACGGAAACCCUUCGUAUUUUAUUUUGAUUUCCCCCUUUUCAUUUCAGUUGAUAUAUACAUAGCGACCAAAUUGGCCAUGAAAUUGAACUCUGGGCAUUUUCCCUUUUGAUUUCGGAUUUGAUUAAAAUAGGUGUAUACGCUGAUGAUUCCGAUGUGAAAAAGUUUCUAAGUGAGAAAAAGGGAGAUCUUUCCGAUGAUCUAAUGGAGAGUGAUGUCAGCAUGACUAUUAGGCUGCAAAUAGUUUAUGGAAGGUUGAGCAUUCGUUCCGUGAGGAGCGCUUUUCAAGAAUCGGUCGGUAGCCGAUUGAACAAGUUUGGCGGAGGAUCGGAUAACAAAGAAUUGCUACAAAGGUAACCAAAUAUCUUUUCGUUUAUAUCGCAAGUAUACUAAAAUGCACUAAAUUAGGAAUGAUAGUAGCCCGUGGUCGUGGUGUAGCAAUUCAAUAGUAUAAAAUCUCGAGCUCGGUGAUUUUGUAGUGUCUGUCGAUUUUCUUAUAAUUUGAUGUGCAGGUUUACCUCUCAAUUUAAAGAUGAAUAUAAAAUACCAAAGGGAUCCAUCAUCGAUCUGUGUAGAGAGCGAGGCUAUGUUCUUCGCACAAUGAGUAAGAUUGUCGUCGCUACUUCAUAUUUAUAUUUGAAACGAACUUUGUUUUAGUUAAAUAUGAGCAUGGUGCAUAAUGCAUAUAAUGCUGCAAAAUUACGAUAAAUUAGAUAUAAACGCAACUUUUUUACAUUUUGCACGUAUGUAUGUAUGUAGUUGAUGGAGAAGAAGUGGGAAGUAUACAGAGCAAGGUCUUGUGUCGGUCAAUACUCGAUCUAUACAUAGGUAACGAGUCUUUUGAUUCUAAAGCCAAAGAAGAUGUCGAGCUCAACUUGGCUUCCCUAUUAGGGAAAUAACUUCGUUGGAUGUCAAACUCUGCUUGAAUCCAAAAUUCAGAAAUUUCGUAAUAUUUCGACCCUUGAUUUUCGCGUUUUUCGGUUGUUUGUAUUUUGUUGGGAAAAAAACAUUAAUGUGAAGAACACUGAAGAUUUGGUUUCUAGGUAAAGUAUUGCUACCAAAUUAGAUGAGAUCACAUAAAAUUAAUUUUGUGUAGUUGGAUGAGUAGUCAAGCCCAUUGACUAUUUUGUAUGAUGAUAUAAAUAAAAGAUGGAUAAAAUAAAUAAUAUAAAGAAAAUCGUUGUGGGUUCCAACAUUUUCAGAGGAAUUCAAGUCAAAAAAAUUGACCUGCUCCACCACACGAAAUUAAUUAUUUUUCAUUCAAAAAAGUCAAACCUUUUUUUAAAUAAUAAUAAUAAUAAUAAUAAUAAUAAUCAAAUAAAGAGCUGAUAAUAAAAAAUAAUAUUAAUCAACAAACUUUCAUAAGCUGCUUUUUCUUUAACUGAAAAAAGGUAUUCAACUUCCACCCACCAUACUCUAAAGCAUAUAUGAAAGAAUGGAAUUGUAUAUGAUGAUGAUGAUUAUAACAGCAGAUUAGUUCUAUACAUACAACACAAAAAUGAGUGCCGCAUUCAUUCAAACCAAUCACAGAUUAGUACUCAAACUCAUAAAUAACUAUUUCCAAAAUUGCAAUUUAAUCCUUUUUCAAUACUUGAGCUCGGAGAGUUGGUUCGGGCAUGUGCCUAGAAUCGGAGUCACGUUCCUUCUACAAGCAGGGGACAAUUUCUGGGCAGGCCCGUUGGGAGGAACCUCUGUUUCUUGGGUUGAUUUGCUCACUGUACUCAUACUUCUUUGGCUGCUCCCCCCUGUAUUUGUAUUUUUCGACACCGAUGAAUUUGCUGAAGGUGAUACCGGAUUAUGACUACUUUGGGAACUUUUCAGUUGAGGAAUGUUCGAAAGGGCUGUAUUAUUGUGAGAGUAGUUCUCCCAUUUGGAUGCAAAGUUUGGAUUCCCGGUUUGAGUAGAAGAUGUGAAAACAGGGUUCAUCGCCUUAACCUGAUACGCUGACGCUCCUCCUCCUGCAAGCUGCUGCUGCAUUUGAUGCUGUUGAGACUUUGGCAUUGUCGAGCGAGCUGAUAUACUGUCACUGCAAUCUGACUUUGAGAAGUUGAAAGGUUGACCGCUGCCGCCAUGGAUUUGAUUUGCUCCUUCACUUGCCUGGAAAUUCUUCUGCUGCUGCUGUUGUUGUUGUUGUUGUUGUUGUUGUGCCAUUUGAUACAUCAUAGCAGAGUUGUGCAUCAUGGAUGAGAAGCUCAGCGCAGCAGUUGUUGAAGCAUUCGAUCCGAAAGAGAGAGCAAAAGCUUGAGGGACCAUAUUCAUUACACCCUUAGAGCCAUGCUGACUAGGAUCGCCGUGCUGCUUAUUAUUGGCAGGUGGCAUCACUCCAAAGUUCAUUGCUUGGACAGGAAAUGCGUACGUCUGCCCGUUAUUAUUACAUUCCACAGACUGAGAAACCAAACCGUCAGGAACCGAUGAGCCGCCACUUUUCCUGCUAGUUAGCUUAUCUGGCUGUGAUGAGUAAGGAAAUUUGUCGUCACUAGUUUUCGUACUGGUGUGCUGAUGAUUACCCUUGGGUUGUUUGUGAGAUGACGAGCCACCAAAUAUCGAAGCUGAUUGGACUGGAGCAUGAGGAAGGGAUAAUGGCGGCUGCUGCUGAUUUUGAGUGACAUUAAACGCUGGCGACGAAUAUAGAGAGGAGUUAAAGAAGGGCAUAUUGGGGUGUACUCCUCUGAAAGAAGGCAAAUUUGGGAAACUAUUGUUCUGUAACAUUGCCAUGUAUGGAGAAGCUUCCAUGGAUGGAAAUGUUGGUUGAUUAAAGCUCGCAGAACCUGGUGCCCCAUGCAAGGGCAAGUUAACUGAAAGCCUCCCAGCUGAAUUAGAGGGCAGCGAUUCGUUGCCAACUGCUGAAGCGGGUACGGAAGAAUUAGCUGCUGAUGUCAUCGUUGUUUGGCGUUGACCGUUCGGAAAGAUUAAACCAGAGCCAUGCUGCAAUCAUCAUAAUAAAUAAAUAAACAGGGGUUUUAACUUCGAAUCGAGCGUGACGCAGUCACGGUUUCAAUAACUACAGGAUAAAGACCGAAAGAACUUACCGAAAAGUUAUUAGCUUGUUGGAAAAUAGACUUGCCAUUUGCUGUGGCAUUGAAAGCAGCUGCAGCAUCAGAGAUUUUAUCUAUUCUACUUCCAUCUGAAAUGGUGGUAGCAAAAUUCUGUACUCCUUGAAAGUCUCCGUGAACGAGCUUUUGUCUUGACUUGGAUUUUAGGUUCGAUGGUUUGGUUCCAUAUAAAGUAGGAGGACCAAUUGGCCCAGACGAUAGAGAUUUUUUGAUGAGUUGCUGGUGAUACUGAAUGUUGUUGGCAACGUUUUGAUGAGUUAAACAUCUCUUCAGUCGAGGUUGUGAAAAAUUAAAUUGAGGGGGCUGCAAAUUUUGAGACAAUCAAUUUAGUUAGUUAUAAACUGAACCAAAUAAGAAACAUUGCUCCGACAAAACCAAAGGUGUACCUGCAUUGUCAUCGAAGAUCUGGCACUUCCAUCUAUUGGCAAAACUGCUUGCAUGGUGGGAGGCAUAUAUCUGCAUACGAAACAACUUGUUUAGCAAUGGGCAGGCAUUUGUUAAACAGAAGAAUAAACCGAGACUUUAGUAUACACACCCUGGACGAGGAAGAACACUAGGCCAGCUAUUCAUACCAAAAGGGAAAGACAACAAGGGAGUUGCAUCUGCAAAAAUAACACGUCAGUCAUACAAUUUAGCUGAAAAAAAUAUCAUGAUCGCUUCGAUUUUGGGAUCAAGUAGAUUGGUAUGAGGAUUUUACAUUGACUUUUCUGAUCGUUACGAAUCUGCUGCUGUUGGGUAGUACUGUCACCGACUCUUGGGAUAUCAUGCCUACGCUUGUCCAGGUCAAGGUUUGGCAAUCUAUUAUUACUAAUUACUCUAGUAGUUUCUUCCGACAUUUGAGUUGCAACUGCCAAGGGACAAUCCUUUGAAAUAGCGUCACUCUUCUGCAAAAGAAUUACACGAAAAAACAGUUUCAGACUAACUGAACAAAUAAAAACCCCAAUUAGAAAAUAAAUACACAUGAAAAGAUCAGCAUGCCUUUUGAACAUCCGGGGUAAUUUCUUUAGGAUCAAUAGGCAUAUCAACCAAGAAAUCUCUCUCCGAGGAUGAUGGCAAAGGUGGAGGAGCCUGUCAAAAGAACACAAUAUUCAGAAUAUUUAUUUAAUAGAAAAAAGAAAUCAUAAGCCCAACUAAAGGAACAACUCUUAUAUGGCACACAUACCAUCAAAUCAAUCUCUGGCUUCGCUAUCUUCUUCGCCGCAACCCGGAUUGUUGCCUGAUCUCUGUAGCGGCACCAUAGAUGGACAUUGUUAUACAGAUGGGUUCAUGAGAAAGAAAGGAAAAUUAAAAGGGGAAAAAAGAAGAGAGAGAAAAUUUGGUAUACUCACGCUUUUGUCACUGUCGGAUCCUGAAUAUCACAAGCAUUUACUGUAACACAUGAUGGCGAUUCGGUUUCUUUUGGAGACCCCACUUUUCCUUUAUUCACAAAUCCAUCUUCUCCACCCACUACUAAUUCUUGAGCUGGGUCAUCAUCGUCGGCAAAUUUCUCUUUAUCAAUUCUUCUCUCUUUCUUCAAUUCUUUCACUGAGUCGGCCAAAGUUGUUUCACCACCCACUUUUAUUGAUUGCUCGUUUUGAACUAUAAAGGCAUUAUUCUCAUCUUUACCACCCGCAGCUUUUAACCUCUUUAAAUCUGUAAUCCCCACCAAAUUCACAUUUAUGAAGAAAAAUACGAGCAACAAUUAUGCACUGACUCCCGAAUAAACAGAUCACGAGAAAUAAAACUUACCGGCAUCAGCUGCUGCUGUGUCAGCGCUUUCUCUAUCAACCUUCGGCGGAGAUUGGGACUGCGACUGAGAUUGUUUCAUCAGAUCGAACAAAGCUUCAGCAACUUCGAUCUCGAUUUCAUCUUGAAUAACUGAUGAAGGUUUGGAAUUAGAUGCGUCACUCAGAACCUUCGUUCUCGGCUCUGCAGAUAUCUGGGGAGUCGCAACACAUCUCUGUUAAUAUUUGGAAAAUGAAAAUAAAUUGUACCAAAAAUUAAAUCCAUAAACAAGUGCUCACCAUCUUCUUCGUUGAAGCACCGGAAAAUGAUGGCGAACCACUGCCGGAACCAGUCAGACCCACUAUAGCCGGAGAUGAUGAAAAUCUCCGGCGGUUCAAGUCAUCACCUCCGACGCCGCCUGAAUUGCAGUAAUCUUGCAACCUCUUUGCAGAACCUAUAAAAAAUAGAUAUAUAAAAAAAAAAAAAAAACAUUAAACAAAAAAAGUAACAGCAAAUUAAACUCAACAAAUAGACCAAAUAUUCCUGACUUCUGAAAACAUACCAGAGCGAGCUCUCCGGGGUACAGGAACACCGAGCAUUUCAUCGCCGGCGGCUCUGACCACCGGCGACGACCGGAGAGUACGGAGGCCCGAACGGCUAUUAGACAGAGAAGAAGACGUUGGCGACAGUUGACUCGUCCGAUUUCGCUGAUGAAUUCUCGUCUCCUCUUCCUCUGCACAGUAUUCUUCAUCACUCGAGUCCGUACUCUCGUUCUCUCUAUAACUUUCACCACCACCGCCACCGCCACCGCCACCACUCCUCUGCAGCGCACCGUGCCUAUCAACUCUCCUUCUUUUCGCAAACUCUCGAUCCCGGACUUUCUUCUCGAACUGCUCUCGAUCUCUUAACCUCAACGUUUCCUGCAAUUCCACCUGUCUAUCCAUGUCUGUGAAAAAUAAAAAAAAUCGAUUAGAAAGCACUUAUCAAACAAUAAUCCAAUCCAUAUAUAUCUAUAAAAAAAUUCUAACCAGUUGAAUCUCUCAGAUUGAGAGCAGUAAUUUUUGGCCGUCUUCUCGGCAAACCAUUAACGGUAGAAAUGGUAGCUUUCCGCAAAUCUCUGUUUCUCUCCAUCAGCACUGUAAAUCUCCAAUCGUCAAUCACAGAACUCGCCGGAUUCCGACCAUUUCCGACGACGGAAAACACCGGAACAAACGAAAAUGAAAUCCGAAAAACUGCAAGCAAGCUCUAUGAUUCACCUAAACAAAUCGGAAACUUGUUGAAAAUCUCUCUCUGUUUCUCCUUUUUUUGCUUUGUUGUGUGCUCUCUCUCUCUCUCCUCACUUUUUUUAUUUUCUCUCUCUUCUCUCUCUCUCUCUAUCUUUCUCUGUGGUCUCAUCUAAUCUGUAGUUUGUUGUUUAUAAGUGUCACGCGAAACCUACUCCAGAGCCGAGAUGGACGGCACCGAUAUCUCUCUUGCCCUCGAGACGUCAUAUUCACCGCAAGAUCUGGUCUACAUCCAAGGGUCACGAUUAGCCGGUGCCAACAUGGCACAACUGUCACUUUCCCGAUUAUAAUAACCUGCUUUGGGCCCUCUUUCCGCCACGUCCCUCAUUUAUUUCCUAUUUAUUUCUUUUUUCCUCUUUUUUUCCUGUGGAUUUUUUUAUUUAUUAAUUACUCUACAAAUUAGCUUCCUCGAUUAUUUCAGAUUGUUUAUGAUAACAGUAACUAUUAGUACCUACCUUAAUUAAAUAAAAUAUAUGCACAAUCUAAUGUCGAUUUAAUUUCCUUAUUCAGAAUUUAUGCUACCAUAUUCAAUAUUUCAUAUCUCCUAUUGUGAAUUAUUUCGAAAAAUAUUUUUGGGAUUCAAUUAAAUUCCCUAAAUUGAAUUAUAUUACCUAUAUUGCAAAAGUUGUCAUUCAGAUUGUAUUAAUUCAAUUCAAGACACCUGUUAAAAGUGUUAAUUUGCUCGAAAUACGUAUCUGAUACUUAAAAUGCAAAAAGAUUUUUCAUAAUUACUAUAUGUUAAUUAUUUUUUUAGGAAUAUUAAAGUAUGUUAUUGAUAAUAAUAGUUGCGUAAAAGGACUUGAUAUGAUGAUUUUUUUCCUUAGGGACUUGGGAGAAAAUUCACCUAAUUCGAAGAAAAAAAGGAAUUUGCAAUACAGAUAAAGUAGAAUUGAUUUUAUUAUUAUAGUUGGAUUCUGUAAUUAAAUUAUAUAUGUCGUAUAAGAACAAAUUCAAUUAGAUCUCCCACUCUAUUUUAGAAGUUUUGCAGCUGCUAAUUUAAUUUUGAUAAUCUACAUCUAGUGCAGUAAACCCACACGCGCUAGUCGGAGCGUCGGCCAGAAACAUGGUUCACUAGCUACUGCCACUUUUAGUUGCCGUUCCGAUUCCCUGCUCUGCGAAAAAACUGAAUAAUAAAAGGACGAAAAUAUCUUACCUGCGCGUACGUUAUUGCCUAAUUGGCAAAAUUAAAAAUAAUAAUAAUUAAAAUAAAUAAACGACUAUAACAGCUCACGUGGGAUUCAGUAAGACGAAAAGACCGGUUCGUACCUUCUGCUGCUCCGCUUGUACCACAACCCGUUUUUUUCUCGGCGGGUCCCACCUCCUCGAAUAAAGUACUUCCGACGUGGCAGCAGGACGACAAUGUGGGUCCUACUAGAGCUGAUGUUGCGCUAUUUUUAAUAGCUCCGCUAGGAAGAGCGAGAUUAUCGCCGAUGGUGCUGCCGAAUCCGACGGUUGAGAUUUUUCUCCGAUAGGAGUCUCCGGAGCCGGAGUCGUUUCCCGGUCAAUCCACCGCGGCAGCUGUAAUGAAGCUUGAUAUAAAAAUAUAUAUAUUUGAUAUUUCCAAAUCCAAUAGUCAGUUAUUUGUCUUGAAAAUAUGUAUACGGUUUACUUAUUAGUACUAAAUAAAUAUAAGUAUUCUGAUAAAAUCAAAAAAUAAUUGAUCACAUAAUGGAAUUAAAAUCCACCGUGUCAAAUUUAAGACCAGAAAUUACUAUAAUAAUUAAUAAUAAUCACGCCAGGUAUUCAAUUUUUAUUGAAAGCCCCACUCCAGAAUAAGUGGGUCGCCUUGGAUCUUGUUAGCUGCACGGCCCACCCCACUUCGACAUGUUUCUUUUAUUAUUUUAACUUACUUAUAAUAAUAUACAUUAUUAUUACUAUUUUGUAAAAUUAAAGCUUAUUAAUAUUUACUGAGAAUUAAAAUAAAAGUUAAUUCUUAUCUCAUGUCAUAAAGAUUUAUUUUUGCAUGUAUUUAUUUAUUUAUUUUUUCUUGAUUUUUUAUCUAAACCGCAUGAAGUAUAAUCAAAUUUAACAUCAAACACAACCUUGUGCUUCACAAUAUAUAUAAACAGCAUCUUUGUUAGUUUAUUUUAUUAACGUAGUGGACGCCACAUGACAACCAAUUAUAUAAGAUGAUGAGAAAAUAAAUUAUAUAUAUUAUUUGGUCGUAGAAAAAGGGAAAAAAAUAAAUAUAUUAUAAUAUACGACUAAGUUAUUGGGUGAUCUAGAUUUUGUCCUUACAAUGUUGAUUUAUGUAUAAGAACAUAGUACAAUCUUACUAAUUAUAAUAAGGGUCCAUUUGAUAUACACCCCUCAUAUGGAAAAUAUAUAGGCAUAGGUCCACCCCUAAAAAUCUUUCUUUGAGAUACACCCCUGGAGAGGCAAAAGUACUAUUGUACCCUUAUUUGCAAUUUUCGCCCAACUGCAUUCAGUAUUUUCACCAACUGCAUUUAUCAUUUUGAACCUGCAUUUAAUAUUUUUGUACUGCAUAUAUCAUAAUUUUUAAUUUAAUAUUUUUUUAUUCAUGUACAUAUAUUGUAACUUUUUUUUAUUAGUAGUAUAUUUUUUUAUAAAAUAUAUUUUUUUUAAUAUUUCAAUUUUUUUAAUAUUUCAAUUUUUUUAAUAUUUCGAUUUUUUCAAUAUUUCAAUUUUUUUAAUUUUUUUAAUUUUUUUUUAAUUUUUUUAAUUUUUUUUUAUUAAUUCAAAUUUUAGUAAAAUUCCUGAACUGAAAGUAUAGUUAUAUAUAGUCAUGUAUUCUCUUUUUACCCCAAAAUUCAUCUACACUAAUAAAUAAAAUUCACAAUUUAGAUCUUGAUAUUAUAAAUCAACUAACAAACAAAAAAUAAAAAAAAUACAAUCACAUGCAUAUAUUCUUCAAACAUGAACACAUUAAAAAACCUAUAACAUACAUAUAACUAUAUGUUACUACAGAUGACUAUAGUUAUCUACAAUUAUCUAUAUUAAUAUAUAGUGACAUAAAGUCUAGACUACUGUAGCAUGAAUCCAACUUCAUUAGGCACUUCAUCGCAUCUUAUUCCCUGCAUAUCAUAAAAGCAUAAUAAAAGCAAAACCUGCGACAAAAAAAUACGAGUUAAAGAGCCAAAUGGAACAUGCGAGUUAGAUUGUAUGAAAAAUACAAAAAAACAUAAUUUUUUUUUGUUGAUAAAUUUACUUAACUGAAAUCGAAUACAAAUGACUAUAGUAUACUACAAAUUCUAUAGUCAUGUAUAGUAAUAUGUAGCCAUGACUAUAUAUGACUACAUAUGACUGUAAUAUAUGACUAUAAUAUAUGACUAUAUAUGACUACAUAUGACUGUAAUAUAUGACUAUAUAUGACUGUAAUAUAUGACUAUAUAUGACUAUAUAUGACUACAUAUGACUGUAAUAUAUGACUAUAUAUGACUGUAAUAUAUGACUACAUAUGACUACAUAUGACUGUAUAUGACUAAAUAUAAUUGUAUAUUCACCUGACUCAAAUCACCCAUUUAAACAUUUACAUUAUAAAUCAACUCAUAACCAAUAAAAUAAAAGUUACAGAUUAGCUACCUUAGCCAAAAAGCUACAAAUCUCCCAAUCAUUGCCCCAAAAACAAAAAACCCCCAAAAAAUUCAAACUCAAUGCCACUAAUUGUUACGAAAUAAAAAAUAUUUAUGACAAAAAUCAUUUAUAACAAAAAUAAACAACAUAAGAAUCAAAACGAAAUAAAAAAUCAAAUUAAUCCAAAGAAAAAUAUUUUAAUAUUAAUUAUUCACAGAUCUUAAAAAAUAGUAGAUCUAAUUUUAAAAAUAAUAGUAGAUCUAAUUAUGAGACAGCUAAUUAAUUAAAUCAAAAUGAUAAUAAUGUGAGGAUCUGAUCUGAGGAGAAUAAUGAAUAAUACAGAAGAAGAAAGUGACCUGUGUUGAUCUUUGUGGUUGGAUUUGAGAGUGUAUUUGCGGAGCGGCGGCAACGCUGCGAGGUAGGGGAGUGGCGACGGCGGCGUUGCGAGGUAGCGGAGCGGCAACAACGGCGCAACGAGGUGGGGGAGCAGCGGCGGCGGUACAACGAGGUGGGGGAGCAGCGGCGGCGGCGCAACGAGGGGAGGGAACAGCGGCGGCGACGGUGGACUGUGGGUAGAGCGAGAGUUAGAGAGAGAUGAAGAGAGAGAGAGAGAGAGAAAGGGAGAAAGAGAGAGAGGGGGGAUAAAUGUCGGCUGAUAGAUGUGGGAGUGGGAGUGGGAGAAAAGGCUAGGGUGUUAGGGUUUGAAUAAAAUUAAAAGGGUAAAAUAGGUAUUUUAAUUUAUCUAGGGGGGUCUAUCAAAUUAAGAUUAAAAUUUGGGUUUUUGACUAGGAAAGAAAAGUCAAUAGGACUUAUCCAUAUAUAUUUUCAAAACUAGGGGGUUAUCCCUCAUUUCCCCUUAUAAUAAUCUCCCACGUCGUAAAACAAUUGUUUAUAAAUUUCCAAACUUUCUAAUUUUAAAUUGAGUUACAGAAUGUAGAGUUAUAAAUUGAAGAAUUGGACCUUAUUGAAUAUUUAAUAAAUCCAAUAAUUUCUCGAACCCCGACUGUGACGAAAAUGGCACCUAUGUUGACUUAAUACGAGAUCAUUUAUUCAACUUCCUACGGUACAAAUCAUCAGAUAUAAUUGAGAAAUACAAUCAUGUCAAAAAACAACUUUAUCCUUGGCAAGAAAAUGUACAGUUAACGAGGAACAAUCGAGCAAGUUGAAGCACCAUACGACAUCGUAUUUCCCCAAAGUGCAUUUCCUAUGUACCACAUACACAUGUACUGGUUCUUAAACUUGUCAUAAGCAAAAAAAAAAAAAGGAAGAAGCAUAAGCAUAGGGGAAAAGAGCUUCUCAAAAUAUCUCUAGUGCUGGGAAUUCACAUCUCUACACCUUUGCAUAAAUCCUUCAUACUGUCAGCAACUCCUGCAAAAAAAAUUAAAAUAAAAUUGUAUCCUUAAAUUAAUGUCCCAGAUUGAAUAUAAUUUAUCAAUAUAAUGAAAACGACGAUGAAAAGGCAAGGAAGCUGAACCUUCUCUUUCUGUUUGAGGAUUGUAUCGAUCUUCUUCAUGUACUCAUCAGUCACUUUCUGUAAACAAACCCAAUAUCCAAUUAUCACCAAUACACAAACAGAAAAUGAAAAUAAAAUAAAGACAAUAAUCAAGAACCUAAUCUCGACACAGAAAAUAAAAGUCCAGAGAGAAAUUUGCUAGAGUUUCGUACUUCUGUCUGUUUAUUUUAUGAAAAUGAACUAAUUUAGGUACCUGCAAGUCAGCAGAGAGGUCCUUGACAUUAUCUUCAGAAAGCUUCUUCUCCUGCAAAAUACGUUUGUUGCUUAUUAUUACAAUAAACCUAUGACGUGGGCCGUGGGCCGUGGGGUGGGGUGGGGUGGGGGGUGCUAUAUUAGGCAGACCUUCUGAAGUUGUCGUAGGAUUUGAUGGCGUCUCUUCUUAUAUUCCUUAUAGCAACCUAAACAUUAAGAGCAACUUAAGAACAAGGCUGAACCAACAAUUGCGUAAUGUGGUUCGUUCAGAAUCUGUAGCAAAAAGGAAGUGUUUGUUACCUUGCCUUCUUCAGACUGCUUAGCCACAACCUUUAUUAACUCCUGCAAACCACAAAAUAACCAAAAUUUUAAAAAUUAAAAACAGAGCAUCUUGUGUUGCAUAAUGUAUAUAUAUAUAUAUAUAUAUAUAUAUAUAUAUAUAUAUAUAUAUAUAUAUAUAUAUAUAUAUAUAUAUUCGGGCAAUAUUUUGAGAAACAAUACAAAUUCAAUUAUAAACCAUUCGCUUAGCUACAAAAUACAAUACCUUCCUCCUGUCAGAUGUCAGUUGAGGAAGGGUCAAUCGAAUAACAUCUCCAUCGUUAUUUGGAGUCAGACCAAGAUCGGGAGAGGCCACAAUUGCUUUCUCUAUAGCCUUCAAGCUGUGUUAAAAAAAUAAAAAAUAAAAAAGACACUCCAAAUGUUAUUGGAUCGCACAAAUAAUAGAACAUUUAACUCCAGUUGAAGGAAACAAUAACUGCAUGCAACCCUUCAAUUUGUUCCUAUACGACCAACAUAGCAUGGAUGCGCUGACUAUCAGUAACCAAAAGUGUAUGGGAGGGGCAAAAUCGUACAUUUCAUUGUCACCACAUUUUAUAACCUAAUCGGAAAAAAAAAAAAACUUGAAUGCUAAAACUAGAUGUUUGUACUAGAAAUAUACACCUGGAUUUGUCAUAGGGCUGCACCAAGAGGGAACUUGAAUCGGGAGUGCUUAUCUGAGCUAUACUCUUCAACGGGACUGGUGUUCCAUAGUAGUCCACCUAAUAAAGUCCCGUGAAGGAAAUUCAAAACGGUAUUGGUGAAUAAAUUAAGUUAUCCAAGAAAUUAAAUGAAAACGAAAUAGAAAGACCUUAACACAAUGUUGAUGAAAGUAAGAAAUGACGAAAAUUGAAAAAUUCAAGAAUACACAAUAACGAUAUGGAAAACGGAAAACGGAAAACGAAAAAGAUAUCCCGUAAAAUAACGAUACGGAAAACGGAAAACGCAAAAGUCUAAUCGCUUGGGCGAGUUAGAUAGUAAGAUGUAUAAUACCUCGACUUUGUCUAGUAUGGAUGGGUUUGAUCUUCCGGUUCUGAUAGAAUUGAAACUGGUUUUCACAUUGUCAAUAGUCUUUUCCAUCUUUUCUUUCUGAAGAACAAUUAAUGAAUUAAUGAAAAUUAGUACUUGUAGGUCGUUUGUGAGGUUUCUAGAUGCAGCUAACUAAGAAAUUAAUCGGUAAAUAAUUAAAAUUCGUACAACAGCUUUUUCAAUCAUUGAUUUCUCCGCUUCAAUUUCUUCAAUAGUUGCGCAUUUCAACACUCCGAUUCUGAUAUAUUAAACGAGUUCAUCAGUAACACACUACUAACAAAAAAAAAAAAAAAAAAAAAAACCAUAAAACAAUUAUAGCAGACAAAUAUUUUAAGAACCUUAUAAACUUGCCUCUUCUUCCAUGUCUGCUUAACAACGAAGGGCUUCCCGGAAAACCCUCUCGCCGCCGACACCUGAAGCUUGACGUAAUUCGCCGACGCACUCCAACAACCCACAUUUCCAAAAUCUGCAGUAAAGCCAAAACUCAAACACGCACUCGUAUGAUAAAUAAUUAAUAGCCAGAGAGACGAGAGACGAAAAUGGAGUUUCUAGGAAAACCUGGGACUGAGAGACGGUUCUUGGGAAGAUUAGACGCGUAGCAAACGGUGCGUACGUGAGAUGCAGGCGAGAAUGUUGUCGCCAUAGGGAUGACACUCUAUGUGUUCGAUGAAAUGCCUCAGUUGAAUUCUCUGACUUUCUUUCUAUCUAGUUGAGGACGAGGAAUUGUGGAUAAGAGCGAUCCUUUUGCACUGGGACAUUCACCCACCAAAUACGCUAAUUCUUUGUGUAAAGAUUUUUGCCCUUCACGGCCCAAAUACAAAAUUGAAUUUCCUAUUUUACCCCUCGAGUUUGUAAAUAAAUUUGGAUUUCCUAUUUUAAGCGGGUAAAAUUAAGGUUACCAAUGAGGUAAUGUCAAAUUACGAGAAACCUCCUAUUUUUUUGUUAAUUCCAACCCCUCUCAACUACGAAUCGUCUCACGGUGUCAAAUUUAGCGGAAUCUUUUAGAUUAUAUGUGGAACAUUCUUUAGUUUGUACCCGUUUUACACCCUUCCAACUCCCUAUUUUGAAAUAAGAUAAUCAUAAAAUGCAUCUUUCGCCCUGUAAAAUAUCAGAUUGUGGUUCAUCUAAAACUUUAUUUUAGCAUAAAAUGGGUACAAACUAGAAAAUAUCUCACAAAAUCAAUACAUUCCGUUAAAUUUGACAUCGUAAGAGUGGACGUGCAAGAUAAUUUAUAGUUGAUAUAUGGUUGUAAUUACCUAAAAAAAGUUUUUUUCGUAAUUUGAUAUUGUCUCGAGAGGGUCACCGUAAUUUAACCUUAAUAUUUACAAGUAAAAUUAAGUUUCCCAUUAUACCCACAAGACUCUGAGAGACUCUAAGUAAGUACUAUAAUUUAUUUGGAAUUAGGCAUGUUCAUUUAGUAAAAUGGUGACCUAAAAUCCAUUACUCCAAAAUUUAAUAUCGUCGCGGAACUGAACUAUACAAUUUGAUUUAUUAGUCACCAAAAUAUGAAAAAAAAAUUGAAAAUGGUUGAUUCGAUCUAAUGAAUAUACACGUGUGUGUGAAUUUCUUAAUAAGAAACAAAUUUGUUUGUUCAUAUUUGCAUACCCUUAUAUCUUAAUCUCACACAAAUUCAAUGGCUAAUCACGUGUUAUCACAGUAAGACUAUUUCCCCUCCUCUUUUUUUUUUCAAAUGAAGCCAAAGCAAAUAGAGGUACAGUCACGUUUACAUGGUAAAAAUAACAUGCCAAAUCCCACUCACACUCAUGCAUAAAUUGUGACUCUUUUCACUGCACAAAAAUUCUUUCUGCCUUGUUGCACCAAAUAACACGUACUACCCCCUCUAUAUAAUGUGCAUUUCAACAACAUUUUUACUUAACAAAUUCAAUCAUGGGUGGGGUGUUAUUGUGGCUAUUGUUAAUCAUGAUUUCUAUUUCUGGAUUUUGCAAAGGUGCUGUGUACAAAGUCGGUGAUUACGCGGGGUGGACUAUUGUCGACAACAUGGAUUACAACAAAUGGGCUUCUUCCAAGACCUUUCGCGUCGGCGACACGCUUAGUAAGUCUAUUUCUUAUUUGCAAAAACGUAAAAUAAAUUAAUAAAUGUGCCCUUUUUUUAUUUUCGUCGAAAUUUUAUGAUUAUUUUUUUUUUAUUACGUGUAGUUUUCGAGUACGAUAAUCUGUUCCACAAUGUGUUGGAAGUGACCCGAUCGGAGUUCCACUCGUGCGACGCAGAAUCUCCAAUCGCCACAUACGACAGCGGGAAUGACUCGGUGGUGAUACGUAGCCCCGGACACUAUUACUACAUAUGUGGUUUAGAGGGCCACUGCCAGGCUGGACAGAAGGUUGAUAUAAGGGUGCCCAAGUCUAAUGAGCCCGCCAAAGGCCCAAUUCAAAGCCCGAUUCAAGUAACUGGUGGUGCUACCGCUCCAAAGGGCUCUCCUAUUGGUACAAUGGCACCAGGCCCAUCUCACAGUGGUGGAGAGUCUCUAAACAAUUGGCUGUUAUCUUACAAUCUUGGGGUUUUGCUUAGUCUUGUUUUGAUUUUCUAUUAACAUUGGGUUACUUUUAUUAGGUUUAUCGAUCGGCUUAUGUAUUUUUUGUUCCUGUAAUUCGGUUGCUAUUUUUAUGUAUUUUUAUUUAACUAGAAACCCGUGGAGGGUAAUUUGGUAAUUUUCUUUUAGUAUAUUAUGACGAUAUGAGUAUUCGUUUUCUAGCAUGAAACAAAUUCCUACAGCAGUGUACAAUUUUUCGAAUAUCGUGUUUAAGUUAAUUUGUUAGGCUGUUUUCUUCUCUUGAACGAGAAAAUUAGUUAUGAAAAACCUGCAGUUAUGUUUAAUUAAUUUAUCGAAAAAUUGUAUACCGGACAUUGGUUUCCAAUCGAAUAAUCGUAAAAACCAGUAUAAUAUUAUUCCAAAUUACAAAAUAUUGAAAAAUCAAAUGAAGCUUAAGUGACGUGAGGCAUCGAAAUCGAAUUGACUAGGAAAAUGGACAUAGUAACUGCAUAAUGAGUUGGAGUUAUUCUAUACCAAAUGUGUGAUAUAACAACGUUUGUGCUGUCGCAUUUUUUUAGCUGGUGGAGGUGUAUGCUUGUUAUUAAUGUGAUUGAAAUAUAGUGAAAUUGCAUUUCACCAAAUUUGCUUGACUUCUUCUUCUUUCAUAUCUGUUACUGUGAAACUCAUUUGCAUUUCACCAAAUUUGCACCGUCUUUGAAGAAAUUAAAUUAAGAUGAUACAUAAAUUUGUCAACAAUCAUUUUAAGUUCAGUAUUGUACGUUUUUAAUCGUCUCUAAUUUCCACCAAUUUGUUGCCCGAACCAAUUGUUUUUACAAUUUUGGAAAACCAAUAAAAGAAUAUUGGGGAAAGAACAUUUUUUUUUCCUACGCUCCCACACGUGCACCGCAUGCCCAGAUGAAGCCACUAUACACAAUAAUGUGUAGGAUUUUGUCGAUAAUUCACUCAAGUUGUUCACCGGAAAAGCAUCAGAAAAAACGUUUUUUUGCAGAUGGUAUGGUAGUAAGUAAAAAAUUGAAUAAAUAUAAAAAAUCAAGUACACUAGUAUCCAAUUUCCCCUGUAAAACUGAAAAUUAAAUCAUCCGUCAAUCUCACACGGAUGGUUUAACAUGUUAUUAGAUUCGAUCUCAAAUCAUUUGCCACCGUUUUAUAGGUAAAAAUGUAUUCAGUAGCCUAGUAUCGUUUAAUUUAAUCUCUCGUAUAAUUCGAGACAAAUAUAAAUUAUUUUUUUAUCCAAUGUAUUUCGAGUGGCCGGAAGAACCAAUUCAUCUCUAGAUACUACUCUCUCUAUAUAUAUACACGUAUACAUACGGUGAUACACACACCAACUCAUCCACUCAAUUCUUAAUACCGGCCCCCAUACCACACUCAUCAUCACUCUCUCCCGGACAAAAUUGCGUGAUAAUUAAACACUCACCGUGUGCGUGUUUUACUUGUGAAAAAACAAGUACAGCAUUUCAUCGAUCCCCAUUAAUGCGCUUCAGUAACUAAGCGUGACCUUUCAGUUUUUUACGGAUUUUUUUCUCUCAAAAUCCGCGUACCUAUACAUACACCUAUAUAGCUGUACCUCGUUCCUAAUUAAAACACUCUACUCAGUACUCUGCCGUCGGUAUUUUUAUUUGUUACGGUGUGGUGCAAUUUCAAUUUUUUCUCUGCAGUAAGAUAGUGAUGGAUUUGAGCAAGGUUACGCAGGAGAUUUUCACGAAGCUGGAGCAGAAAUGGCUGCACCACUGUGAAGGAAAGCGAACGCGUGUUUUGAGCAUCGACGGAGGAGGAACCACCGCCAUUGUCGCUUGCGCCGCUCUGGUUCAUCUGGAAUACCAGAUCCAACUCAAAACCGGCGAUUCGAACGCUCGUAUUGCUGAUUUUUUCGAUAUUGUUGUCGGUACAGGAAUCGGAGCUCUUCUCGCCGCAAUGUUAGUCGCCGACGACGGUUUUGGCCGGCCGAUUUACUCCGCCGGAGAGGCGGCUAAGUUCGUGGCGGAGAAUCAGUCGCAUCUCUUCAAAGUCAAAAACGUCGGGGUAUUCCGCCGGCGAAUUAGGUUUUCAGAGAGGAGCAUGGACGCGGUGCUGAAGAAGGCCUUCCGGAGAGAUGACGGCAGGGUUUUAACCCUCAAGGACACGUGUAAGCCUCUCCUCGUUCCGUGCUUUGACUUGAACAGCUCGGCGCCGUUUGUGUUCUCUCGAGCCGACGCCAUCCAGUCGCCCAGCUUCGAUUUCGAUCUCUGGAAAGUGAUCCGCGCCACGUCAGCUACGCCGUCGAUGUUCAAGCCGUAUCCGCUCUCGUCCAGCGACGGGAAGACCUCUUGCCUGGCGGUGGACGGCGGACUUGUGAUGAACAACCCCACCGCCGCCGCCGUCACUCACGUUCUGCACAACAAGACCGAUUUUCCGUCAGUAACCGGAGUUGAUGAUCUGUUGGUGCUGUCAAUCGGAAACGGCGCGUUAAGUAAUCCGUCAAGCAUGACAUUCAGCCGUAACGGCGACUGCUCGACGGCGUCACUCGUCGGCAUCGUCCUUGACGGCGUCUCGGAAACCGUUGAUCAAAUGCUGGGCAAUUCCUUCUGCUGGAAUCCUAACGAUUACAUUAGAAUUCAGGUAAUUUUAUUUAAUUUAAUCUAAUGUAAUUUCUUAUUUAAAAUUAAUUUUCACCUUUCAGUUUACGGAAAUAACUGUGUAAUUAAGAUCCCGACGGCGUUAUCUAAUUUGCAGGCUAACGGUAUCGCGGGAACAACGGAGGAGUUGUUGGAGGAGAGAGGAGUGGAGUCGUUGCCGUUUGGCGGGAAGAGGUUGCUGACGGAGACUAACGGACAGAGAAUCGGAAGUUUUGUGCAACGGCUUGUGGCGGCGGGAAGGAGCAGCCUGCCGCCGAGUCCGUGCAAGGAAACAGCCGUUAGCCCCCUAGUUAACGGCCGUUAAUGUUAAUUUGUUACCGUCUCUUCUUUAAUUUGUCCUUUUCUGUUCAGUUUUAUUAUUUUAUUAUUAGCCCGAUGUCAGUUAACUGUCUCUAUUGUCAACUUUAACCAGUAGCAGUGCACUUAAAUAAAACUCCUACAUAUAGUACUAGUGAGUAGUGAGUGACUGGCACUUGAUUAAAUAAAUCGACUCUGUUCUCUCUUUCUCUUCAAUUUAUUAUUAAUUACACUACUGAUUUAUUAAUCCAAGAGCCAUAAUAUAAAAUAUAAAACGCCAUUUAAUUAAUUAAAUUAGGAAAUUACAAGCUGGCAAUUGUUUUACAGUUUUACUGCUCAUAAAAGAUAAAACCACCUGAAGCCGACAAGAUUGGACUUAUCUUCAUUUAUCACUGUACGUUUUCUGGGCCAUGCUAUAAUCUAUAUAUACUCCGGAUUUUUUUUUUUUUUUUUUUUGUAAAUAAUUGCUUAUUAUUAAUUACCUAAUUGAAAAAGAACAAUGAAUUUUACUUAUGUCAAAUCAGUAAAUGUAUAAAUGUUAAAUUGAAGCUGGAGAAGUUAUGUCACAAAUAAUAUAUAAGCUAGAUUCUUCCCUAACAAAACUCCAACAACUUGCAUUGAGUCUAGUCACUCAAAUUAAAGUAUUUAUAUGUAAUAUAAAAAAAGAACAGUCACUAUGAAAACUAAAAAUAAAUAAAUAUAUAAAAAGAACAGUAUUUCGAAAACCUUUAUUUUUUAUUUUUAAUUAAUGCAGUUGAUGCCUGUAAACGUGGACGUCGUGAAUAUGCAGUGGAACCCCGUUAACGUCGGUGGUGAUGAAAACAUUAAAAACAUGGUUGACCAAUCACACGUGCGAAUGCUCGUCCAAGUCAAAAUUCGGCACUAGCUAUAUAAAUAUUAGUCAAAAUUAACAUAUGCAUGUUGCGGAUCUAAUUGAGUUUAAUUACUAAUUAAUUAGUAGUAUGGAGACCGACAGAAAAUUAGACCAACCGGUUUCCACCCAUUCCGGCUUGUCCCAAGAUCAUCCGCACGUGCGUCUAGCUCUCUAAAAGUAAUGUGUGUGUGUGUGUGUGUGUGUGUGAGAGAGAGAGAGAGAUUGAGAGCGUUUUGUCUGUGGUGAUUCAAUGUUUAUUUAUUAACCUAUUCAAUUACGUGAAUACUGUGUAGUGUAUGUAACCAGAAGAGAUAAAUGUAUGUAUACACAUAGGUGGACAUUUGGGUAUGGGUGCUGCUCAGCCUGCUCAACUAUUCAAUCUGCUUCGAUUUAACUCAGUUUAUCGUAUUUGACUAUAGCUCUGUAACUAAGCUAUCUAUGUAAUAUAAUAUUUUGUCUAAAUUAUGUAUUGAAGCUCUCGAAAAGGACCUUUAGCAAAUAGUAAAAACUCGUGUAUGUGUCCUUUUAGUCAUAAAAAAUAAAUUAUGAGGGAGGAGAUCCCUUGAUUAUAUUAUGCAUGCAUUUUAUUAAUAUAUUAAUUUAUAUAUUUAAGAUUCAAGAACUAUGUACAGAUGAACAUAUAUUUUAACGAUUGUUAUUUUUGCAUGAUUGCUUAGUUGAUGGAUAGAUAUAUGUUGAUAAGAUCUUGUCCCAUAACUAACGAAAUUUCACUGCCUUUUCAUUACAUAAUAAGGCCAAACAACUGUGUAAGGAUAGAUCAUACUCUUCUAUUACUUUUUCAUUCAUUCAAAUCACCGACUUCUUUUUCAUCCAAAAAAAAAUAAUAAAAAACUNNNNNNNNNNNNNNNNNNNNNNNNNNNNNNNNNNNNNNNNNNNNNNNNNNNNNNNNNNNNNNNNNNNNNNNNNNNNNNNNNNNNNNNNNNNNNNNNNNNNUUGACAUAACAUAUCAGUCAUUUCAUAUAUAUAUAUAAAUCACUUGGCAGUAUCUUGGAAGGCCGUGUUUGGUUUACCCUUCCAAAUUAUUGUAUCCGAUUCUUUGAGAAUUGAGAAAUUAUUUUGUACUUCAUUUUCUUUACUUUUCUUUUUCUUCUCGAAGAACGAUACUCGAUGAUAAUGGGGUUGGGCUGGACCUAAAUUAAAAUCAAUGCGUUCAUAACGAUUAACGAGAGUUUCAGGCAACAUGCAACGACAAUAUGAAACGAAACGGCUCUACCGAUUUGAGUAGACCGUCGAAAAUCAAAAUCAAUGGGAACAAUUGAACAUUUACAAAGAAUUGAACACUUAUACAAAUAAAUUCACGACUGAAAUUAAUCCAGAAUCAUAUGCAACAUCACUGCACGUUCGUGUGCAUACAAUUAAUUCAGUGCAUAUAUAUACAUGGAAUUUCUCGAAAUUGAUGUAAUUAUCAUCGGGGAAAAUAAAAAAAAUAAUAAUAUAAUUAUUUUCUACAGAAUCCCAUGUUAAUUUUGGCAUAUAUAUAUAUAUAUAUAUAUACACACGUGGCAAUGGAAUGAUGCUAUUCGAGGUUGGUUCGUAGGUGUACACUUGGAACACAUGCUGAAGCGGCGGACCAUCAUCUCUUGCUAUUACUUACUCGCAAAUUUACAACUCACGACUCUCUUCUACCAACAUAUAUUAAUAUAUAUUUAUUAUUCUCAAAAAUAAAUAUAUAAAUAUUUCGUACUGAAACCAUAUUGCAUGGCCAAAUAAUAAAUAAAUGGAUAUUUAAUUAUAAUUCAUUAUAGUAAAAUAUAUAGAUUCGUAUUCAACGUUGGUGUUGACCACUAACACUCUUUUCCAAUAUAUAUAUGCAUGCAGUAGCUAGUAGUUACUACAUGCAACCUAGUGACCUACUUUAAUUGAAGAUAAUUCCAAUAGAAUAAUCAAUUAUUUAAUUAGAGUUUUUUGUCCAAUUGUUAAUCAGUUAAUCUAAUGGUGGUGUGAUUAUAUAUAUACAAUAAUUGUGAAUUGGGAUACUAAUUAACCACAUCAUCAAUUGCAAGAUCAACUCGUUGGAAGUUGGAGCCUUCUCCUUCGCCGACACCACGUGGCUCAAUUAAAAAAUAGGGAAAUAAUUUUUACAAUGUAAUUAAAUGGUUGCUUUGGUAAAUGGAAGUAUAUUUCAAAGGUUAUACUCAUGCAAAUAACUUAUAAGCUUAAAAAAAUAUAAUGAGCAUUUGUAUAAGCUUAUAAAGAAAAUAAUUAAUAAAUUCAAGUUUUUUUUUUUAAAUAAUUUAUAAAUUAUUUUAAUUUGACUAAAUAAAUCUUGUUUUUAAAACCAUUUAAAAAAAAAAAAAAAAAAAAAAAGAGGAGGAGGAGGAAGAAGAAAAUUUAGUACUUAAAAGCCCACUUCUUAUACAUAGAUUCAUAGACUACAAACUAUUUGGGCCAAAUUAUUUGAAAGCCCGUCUCAGUAAAAUUCUGUUGAUGGAGGCCCACUUAUACUGACCUCAUUUUUUUGGGCUAGUCUAUGUUUACUAAGAGGUUUUACUAUUCACAGUGCGUUUUUUAUCUCUUGCAGUGCACUUUAACUCAUUUGUUGAUUCCAUAAAAAAAAAAAAAAAACUCAUUUGUUGAAUAACACUUUAGAGUUAUGAAUUUUUUUCAUGAUAUUAUCAAUUUAAAUACAACAAUUAUCAAUAUGGACGAAGUCGAUUGUGAUUUUGAAAUAAAAAGAACAUUUUUUUGUCAACAUGGCUCUAUUUUUUGAAAACGUUUUGGGAAAGCUUGACUUAAUUGUCUUUUUAUUUGGUUCUUCUGUAUUUAAUAAACUUUUAGGUUAAAUACGUCUUCGACUCGCCUAAAACCCAAACUGAGGUCACAACAUAAUACCUAUGACUUUACAUCGUAUCGCCAUACGACGUAGGGGUGAAAAACAUUUUCCCUUUGCUAGGGCUUCCUAUGUUCUUUUAACCGAUUUGGAUUUCUAGUUUUAGGCCGCCUUUCUUGGGCAUAAUUCGUGUCGUUUAUGUGGAUGAGGCCAAUAUGAACGACAUGGUCCAUAUCAUAUAUAGACACAAUAUACUUCUAUAUAUAUAUAUAUAUAUUUGUAGUUUGAUUUCUCUCGUAAUGUAUUAAUGUUCUUAGUUUUUUCACAAAAACAAAAAAGAAAAGAAAAUGCUAAUUUUUAAUAUUUUUUUUGAGAAAAAAAGAAAAUGCUAUUAGUUGAUGUUUAUUGUUUAGUAUUAGAUUUGAAGAACGCGGGAGACCAAGUUUUAAAAUAUUUAAAUAGGCGGGGGUAGGGUGAUUUGGUCCAAAGCCUUACCGCCAUUAAUCACAAAAUCCACGUAAUUCUCCCACAAAAACUUAUUUCACAAAACCAGAUCUCUCAUAUAGGUUUCCGAAAAUACCCCCCACACGCUCCCCACUCUCUCGCCCCCGCACACAAACCAUAAUAUUUUUCUCUCCCCUCCCUCAUCCCUUCUCAUGGAGAACCAGAACUCCGGCGGGCGCCACCGCGACCGUGAGCAGUCGUCGUCAACCUCGUCGUCAUCUCGUCGGAGUUUGAAGAGAAAGCUCGAUGAGGAAUUCGACGGAAGGAUCGACGAUCAGUCCCCUCUAGAUUUGCACCGAGAUCUUGUGCGAGAAGUACGCGCUCAAGUCGAGAUCCUCGAUUCCUCUUUCUCCUCCGCAGAGAAGGAUCGCGCAUCUGCCAAACACGCUAUAGGCGUCCUAUCCGAACUCGCCAAAAGCGGUAAUACAAAAGUUUUCAAAUAACAGAGAAUGGAAAUAUCUGCUUCCUCAAUUUCUUAGCGAAUUCGUUAUUUAAUUGGCCGUGCGCGGUUUUAUUGAGUGUUUAUGCGCUGUAUUUCGUGUUUGGGGUUUUGAUCCGUUAGGUAACGUUGCGCAUGUGUGAUUUUAGAGGAUACAGUGAACGGAUAAAAAAAUAAUUUAUUCUGAAAUUCUUCAAUUAAUUCGUUACUUUGUGCCUGAGAUUAGUUGAUGUUUAUUGAGUGUCAAUGUUUUGGAUUUUGAGUCUAAGGUUUUUUUAUUGAGCGUCAGUCUUUUGGAUUUUGAGUUUAAUUAAGCUUUUGCAUAAAAUGAACUUUGAAAUGUGUGGCUGCAGAGGACAUAGCAAAUGUGAUAGUGGAUUGUGCGGCUGUUCCAUCUUUGAUCAGGCAUCUUCAGGCUCCUCCGGUGAGUGAGGGAGAUAGUGGUCCAAGGCUGUACGAGCAUGAAGUGGAGAAGGGGUGUGCCUUCACGCUUGGGCUUCUUGCCGUUAAAGUAAUAAUAGUACUAUGUUUUUGUGGUUCUUUUUUAUUUCUUAUCCUAAUCAGAAAAUUCUUCGAAAUGAUAUUAAGUUGUUAUAAUCUUAUUAUUAUUCCCUAAAUUUUUUAUUUCUUAUCCUAAUCAGAAAAUUCUUUGAAAUAAUAUUAAGUUUUUUAGUGAUAGGUUGUUCUGCAAAUCUUACUGUAAAACGUUCUGUCGAUGCAGUUAUGAACCAUGGAGGUCUCUGAUUCAGUUUUCUGCUAUUCUCAAAAUCAUUUUUCUCAUUCAUAAAGAAAGAUUACGCACCUUGUCAAUAACAGAAUUUAAUCUAGUUUAAUCAUCUUUGAAUAAACAAAUAAGUCUGCCGUGCAUCAAAAGAAUGGGUGCGUAUAGUGGUGCCAAAUGUUAAGAACUUGCCUUGAUUGGAAAUAUUUCUUGAUCAUUAUAUAUUUGAUCGAUAUUUUUUAUAGAACAUAUUGAGCUUUUCCAGCAUUAAUGUUAUUGUUAAACUAAUGAAAGGAUGACCACAAAUAGAAAGAUUACAUCACAGUUACUGAAUAUAGGUUGAAUAUCUUUGUGUUACGCGUCACUCAUAUUUUUUGUCAACCUACCACUUUGUUUCACAGCCAGAGUAUCAACAGCUCAUUGUGGAUGCGGGAGCUCUACCCCAUCUUGUUGAUCUGUUAAAGAGGCAUAAGUUAAACUCGCGGGCGGCAAAUGGCGUUAUUAAGCGAGCAGCUGAUGCAAUCACUAACCUUGCUCAUGAGAAUAGCAGCAUUAAAAUUCGUGUUAGGUUGGUUUUAUUUUGUACUCAUGUGGUUGGAUAUUUGUGUUCUGCCUGUUUUUUAAUACUCUAAUUAUGUGCUUAGGGUUGAAGGAGGUAUCCCUCCUCUUGUUGAAUUGCUUGAUUUUGCUGAUCCAAAGGUGCAGAGAGCGGCGGCUGGAGCCCUUCGAACCCUUGCUUUUAAAAAUGACGAGAACAAAGAUCAGGUAUUUUGACUCAAAGUAUAUGAUGAAGUAUCUGCCUAUUUUCAUUUUUACCUUUAAUGAUAUUUUAUCGAAUUUCAGAUUGUAGAAUGCAAUGGUUUACCUACACUUAUACUAAUGCUGCGGUCUGAGGAUGCUGCUAUACACUAUGAAGCGGUUGGCUACUGUUAUAUCCCUUUGCAGUUUACUGUGCCUUUAUUUAAAUAUCUGAUAUUCUCAUACUACUGUGCCAAAAAACAGGUUGGCGUUAUUGGAAACCUGGUCCACUCAUCUCCGAGCAUUAAGAAACAAGUUCUUGCUGCUGGGGCGUUGCAACCUGUCAUCAGGUUACUUAGGUAUGAUUGAUGUAGGCAUGCUAUGAAGGCUAAUAUCUUCACUGAAAACAUAUAUGCAAGGAUCUUUGUUUUAUUUGAUUGUUAACUGAUGCCGCCUAUGAUAACAGUUCCUACUGUUCUGAGAGCAAAAGAGAGGCUGCGUUGUUGCUUGGGCAAUUUGCUGCAACAGAUUCAGACUGUAAGGUUGACCUAAAUACUUUUCUGUUUAAAAACAGCAUCAUAUUAAUUGCAUAGUAAUCUCUGAUUGUAGUCCUUGUUGAGAAAUCUUUUAAUAAUUCUUUUGUAGGUGCACAUUGUUCAAAGAGGUGCUCUACAGCCUCUAAUACAAAUGCUCCAGUCACCUGAUACUCAAUUAAAGGAAAUGUCAGCCUUUGCGCUAGGGAGGUUAGCUCAGGUAACAUUUUCAUUUAUUUCUUUUUGGUUCCGCUGUUUUCCACCUUCAGUUACAUUUUCAAAGGUUUACUCUGGACUCAUUACUGUUUCUAUUAUAUUAUUUGAUGCUAUUGCAGGAUACUCACAAUCAAGCUGGUAUAGCCCACAGCGGCGCAAUAGAGCCCUUACUGAAGCUUCUUGAGUCAAAACAUGAAUUUCUACAACAUAAUUCUGCAUUUGUUCUUUAUGGGCUUGUAGAGAAUGAGGUAUUGUAAAAGAUAAUUAUUCAAUUUUUCGUUUUAGUAGUAUAAGUUUCAUGAUUUUAAUCGGUUGGACUAAUUGUUCCUUCUUGUUCUCCCCUCCCUUAUUCUUUGUCCCAUCUCUUCUAUAGGAUACUAUUGCAGAUCUUGUCAGAUUUGGGGGCGUUCAGAAACUUCAAGAUGGUGAAUUUAUUGGCCAAGUAUAAUCCCACACACCUUUCACUUUGAGAAAUAUCCAUUAUUGUGUUAGUCAAGUCACAAGUAGCAUUAUAUACUUUUACUGAAAAGUGACGUCAUAAUCCUUUUGCUGCAGCCAACUAGGGAUUGCGUUGCCAGAACGUUGAAAAAACUUGAAGAUAAAAUUCAUGGAAGUGUGAGUAAUUCACUUCUACACAAAAUUUGAUUUAAUGGAAUUGAGUUUGAAGAACACAAAGAUAGAAGGACUGCAAAAAAAAAAUGCUAAAACAGAAUGAUAUAAAUUGGUUUUUUCAAUUGGGCCUCUUUACUGAUGCAAUGACUUAUGUUGGAUCUUUAACUUAGUUAAUGUUUCCAUGGGCAGGUAUUAAGUUAUUUAUUGCGUAUGAUGCGUGUGGGAGAGAAAAAAGUUCAAAGACGAGUAGCUUUGGCUCUAGCACAUCUCUGUAAUCCAGAUGACCAGAAAACCAUUUUCAUAGAUAACGAUGGUAUACUAUUUAUUAAAUUGAUUAUUACUGUCAGUGUUGUGUGUCUCAGCAUCUAUACACCACCUGCCUCACCUAUCAUAUGUUCUUGCAGGAUUAACGUUGCUAUUGGAGCUUCUGGAAUCGACUAACUCAAAACAUCAAAGAGACAGCUCUAUUGCUUUAUGUAGGUUAGCUAAUAAAGCAAGCUCACUGUCUCUAAUGGAUGCAGCUCCUCCUUCCCCAAUACCUCAGGUUAUAAUUUGCAGUUUCUGGGGUUGUUUUGUAGAAAAAAUAAAAUAAAGAAUCAAGUGGUUUUGUGGGGGAGAGAUUUUCUGCUGUUCUUCUACGAAGAUAUUUCCUCAAUUCUCUCUACAAACAUCUAAUAAUGCUACACUGCUGCAGGUCUAUUUGGGUGAGCAAUAUGUAAAUAAUCCUACACUGGCAGAUGUGACAUUUUUAGUUGAAGGUGGAAAUCUUUCUACAGCUUCUUGCAUGAUUUCUAUGUGCAUAACUCAUGCUAAACAGUUUUUUUUUAUUGAUCUCGUCAUUUUUAAUUUUCAUCAUCAGGAAAACGGUUCUAUGCACACAGAAUUUGUUUGCUUGCUUCUUCCGAUGCAUUCCGGGCUAUGUUUGAUGGUGGUUAUCGGGUGAGCUAUUAUUGAUUCACGGUCUUUGGUUUAUCUCUUUGCUAUGAACAUAAAGUCUGCUUGACUGCUUUUGUUAAUCUUUUUAAAUAAUUUUGCUCGGUCGUGAUUGCAGGAAAGAGAUGCUAAAGACAUAGAGAUCCCGAACAUUAGAUGGGACAUUUUUGAGCUGAUGAUGAGGUGAAUGCUUUAUAAUACUACAACAACUCUUAGCUUUUGUAAUAAAAUUACAACUCAAACCAAUUGAUUUGUGAUUCUAACUCUUUUUUUUCUGUCUCUUUUUUUCGUAGGUACAUUUACACGGGAUCCAUUGAUGUAAAGUUAGAUAUUGCACAGGAUCUUCUGAGAGCUGCUGAUCAAUAUCUAUUAGAUGGUCUGAAGCGUCUGUGUGAAUAUGCCAUUGCACAGGUAAGUUCUGAUAACCGAAAUACGUAUUAUACUCUCUAAAUCAAUAUCCUUAUUUGUGUCUGAUAUUCGGUUCUUUAUCCAAAAAGGAUAUAUCCGUGGAAAAUGUAUCCCUCAUGUUUGAGUUAUCGGAGGCGUUCAAUGCAUUGUCAUUGAGGCAUGCUUGUGUUUUGUUCAUUCUAAAAAACUUCGACAAGUUGUCCGUCAUGCCCUGGUAUGUUUUACUAAUUUACCCCUGCUUCAUCCUUCUCUUUCUCAAGUGUGCUAGUUGCUGACCUACUUGACGGGUUGCAGGUAUUCUCAGCUUAUCCAACGUAUUUUACCCGAGACUCGUAAUUACUUUGUAAGAGCGCUGACUAGACCUGACCAGAUGGUGAUUUAACGUGAUAGCUGACUUGGGCUGAAGUUUUGAUACUGAUCUUUGACCAAUUAGUAACGCAGGAGAAUGUAUAGAAGUGGACUAGUUUUUUUACCUUUGAAUUGGUGGUUUAAUUGAUCAAACAAAACGAUGAGCCACUUUGUUUUCUAAUUCAAUUUUUAUUCAUAUACGGAUUAGUUCUGUAUCUGACACUCUCGACAUGAGUUCUAAGUCAAUCUUAGAUAUAACUUGUUCUUCUCACUGCUUAUUAAAUGUUUAAGAUUAUAUCAUAAUGUGUAUUAUACUGUACAUGGUGUCGUUUUCAUUCCCCUACAAACAAAAUUUGAGCUGAUUGAAACUUGCGAUAAAGAUUACGAUAUUUUAUUGUACAGAAAAUUUGCGUGGAUAUGUAUCAUUCUUGACGAGAUUUGAGUGCAUGGUGAUAUUCUCUUCUUAACCUAGCUUUGUUCGGCCAGCUCUCUUCCACUCCACACGCGUGUGAUUGAGCGCUCAACGGGGCCACCUGCGGCUUCUUGUUUGAGGAGGGCACAAUAUUUUCGAAACGUCUGUACACUAACGUGAAGUCUGAAAUCUAGAGAGAAUAAAAAUUUCAUCUCCAAUUUGUUCAGUUCUGCUGUACUUACGCCUCCCACUCUAGCGUAAUAGGCAUUGUUGAAGAAUCUGAAAUUUAUCACAACUUAUUAGAAGCAAGCAAACAGACAAAACAUGACUAUAUCACUAUACAAGAGAAUAAAAAAAGAAAAGAAAUUAUUUAAUCAACUUACGCAUCGUCGAUAAAUUUUGCAGCCACCAUUACGCUUGUGAUAAGGAGCCGGUGAAUAUUGAGGGAAUUUAAUGAUAAAUUUGUCCGCUGCAUAAACCGAUCCAUAUAUAUAUUUGCAAUAACAAAGCACGAAGGGCUGCAGCACGAAUACUUAAAAAUCCGAUCGAUGUACUGUUCGAUGCUCAGAGAAGGUGCACAUAAGCCAUGAAAUAUGGUGAUAACAUCUUUCGUAUCUGAAGUUUCCAUUGUCCUUUCGUUUUUCUGAACAGAUCUCUCCAAAAACGUCGAGAGAAGUGAUAAAACUCCGGGUUUUCCUAUAUUGUCCUUUCUCGAGCCUUUUAGCCCCAAAGCUGCAUAUUCUUUUGAGCAUAAACUAUCGGUUUCAAUUGUCACUGUUCCCAUUUUCCAAUAAUACCCUUCUGAGCAUAAACUCCCAAUUCAGGAGCCAAAUUUCGGCAGCAAUCUACGCUGAAAAUCGUUGAUACGAGUUUACCGUUAGAAUUCAAGAGUUAACGAAACUAUGAUUUCGACUUGUCAAAAAUAUCUCUGUAUAGUAUAUAAUACCUGAAUUCACUCUUAACAAACCCAUGUAGAAAACAUUUAAGAAAUUCAAAGUGUCUGCGAUUUCAAUAUCCAGUCAAACUCAUUAAAUAACUUAUAAACCGUUGAUUAGAUUUAAUUUCUACUUGUGUAGUUUUCUGUACAAGUAAAACAAACAUAAAUUCAAGGGCUUAUAACUAAAUACAGUAGAACGCGAUAAAUUAAUAUUCGAUAAAUUAAUAGUUUCUCUCGGUACCGAGUCGACUCGGUGAAAACGUGUUCAAUUAUUAACUCGGUAAUUUAAUAAUUCGCUAAAUUAAUAGAAUUUUCCUAGUCCCGCCAGUAACUGUAAUCUGUAAUCUAUCUCUAAGAUUCAUUACAACAAAGAUCGGCAACAUACAAUAAUCACAAAUCGAAACAGAGCCUUUGUUCUGGAAACUGAAUAAGAAAGCCACGUCACAUCCAAGCGCAGCAUAAAAAUUGAAUCGAAACUAAACGGAAUGAAAUUCAGACAAAAUUGGGGAAGAAGAAAUUAAAGCUUACAGUGGGUAAUUGACAGAUCUGGAGCUCCAAUCUUCCACAUUCAUGAAAAAAAUGGCGGACUGAAUUUCAAGCAGUUGUUUAUCAUCACCACCUUAUAAACUAGUUUAUUCCUCCUACAUGAAUAAAGUUAGAUUCAUUCGACGAACAAGUAAGAAAUAUAUGCUUAUCCCCUUUUCCCAAAAAAAGAAUUGGGUAUCUUUUAGGUCACUCAACAUGGGAAACGAACCCCGCACCUAUCUUAUACUCCAUCAUCUCACUAUGCAUUUGUACGUCGUCCUUUUUAUCUCCAUUUAAUUGUAGUAGUAUGUAUGUACAUUAUUGAUUAUACACUGCACAUGGAGAUACUCUCCCCCCUCUCUCUCUCUAUUUCUAGAGAGAGAAGAUAUAUGGGGUGUCGGGAAAGUAGUGUCGGUAGUUUUUUGUUUUCUUUUUUGCUGACGGUGCGGCGUGGCCCGGGGUAGUGAAUGCAUUUCCUAACCCUUACUAAUUAUUUUUUUAAUCUCCUACCUAAUUUAAUAAUUUUAUAUUUGUGAAACAAAGUCGAUCUAUCAACCAUUCUUAAGAAAAUUUGAAUGUGAGUCAAUUAACACCGAUUCAAUUGCUCCAACUACUAAAUCAUCGGGACUGAAGUCUAGUAAUUACAAUCUUGAAUUAUGAGGUGAUUGACCUUUUAAUGAAUACCAAAUCAGACCACACUUGACAAAGUAGUAGAAUGUUUAUUUACUGUAGUGUGCUGCUUAGGACAUGCACUAAUCAAAUUAUGUUGGACAACUAGUCAGCCUUUUUUCUGUUACACCUAACUAAAAAAAUAAUUAUUUUUUCUUCUCCUAUUUUAUUAUUAAUAAUAAUAAUUGAAAAAAGACUAAUUGAGAUUAAGACUUUUUUGUGGGCUUAUGGUGGAAAAAAUGGGCAUCAGAUCAACUUAAGAAAGAAGCCCAUUCAAUUUGGGCCAAUCUUUAAAUCGAAUCUUAUCCGAAAUGAAUUUUCACAAAACAGAAAACCUACAGCGGGAGUUUUCACUCCUGAAUUUCUCUCCCCAAAUUCAAAAAUUUCAACUUUACAUUUUUUUUUAAUCUUUCCAUUCAAAUCUUCUUAUUUGAGCACAUUAAUUCUCAGGUUUUAUUUACUGAUCUCACUUUUACUGUCAACCCCCUCUGGAUCUCUUUACUCCUGUUCAUUCGCGGCGUUUUCACGCUCCCUGUUGACCGGUAAUUUUCCCUUUUUUUUUUUGGUUUAUUGUAUGGAUUAAUGGUGUAAAUAUCUGCGGUAUUUAUGGAUCUGUUCAAUCAUCUGUUGUGGUUGUAUAUUUUUUAAUUUUUUUUUGUAAUUUUUUUUAUUUGCUCCAGUAUUUGUUUGCUUCUUCAUAGUUUGAAAUUGUUCGCCGACGAGUUUGGGGUUACUGCAUUUAUCAUGUUUGACCUAAUUUCCGGUGGUGGAGGAAUAUUAGAAGUAAUUUAUUCAUCCAUGUAUUCUCCGGCAAUUCAUUUUUUUUUUUCUCUUUUUAGGUUAUUUGGACAUGGAAUUUUCCACAUUGUCUGUAAAGCUAUGGCCCCCUUCCCAAAACACAAGGCUAAAGCUUGUCGAGAGAAUGACCAAAAAUCUUGUAACCCCAUCCAUUUGGUCAAGGAAGUACGGUCUCUUGAGUCAAAAAGAAGCCGAGGAUGAUGCUAAGCGAAUCGAGACUGCAGCUUUUGCUGCAGCCAACCAGCACUUCGGAAAGGAACCGGAUGGAGAUGGAAGUUCGGCUGUGCAGUUAUAUGCAAAAGAAUCCAGCAGGCUCAUGAUUGAAGUUAUCAAACGAGGCCCCAUUGCAAAAUCAGACGAAGAACUCAGUAUACUAGACAAAAUUAAAGAAUGCGAUGGAACUACUUUAGAUAUAUCCGGAGAACCUAGGAAAAUAAUCAAUGCCGAUGAUGCUGAGAAACUGCUGAAAUUCUUGAAGGAGCCUGGAAAUAAAUAUACGAAGAUAUGUUUUAGCAAUACAAGCUUUGGUCAUGAGGCAGCACUUGUUGCUCAGCCUAUAUUGUCGUCCAUUAAGGGUCAAUUGAGUGAAGUAGAUUUAUCAGAUUUUGUAGCUGGUAGGAACGAGGAGGAAGCUCUUGAAGUCAUGAAUAUAUUUUCGUUGGCUCUAGAAGGUUCCGAUCUUCGCUAUCUUAAUUUGUCGAACAACGCUUUGGGUGAAAAGGGUAUUAACGCAUUUGGGGCGCUUUUGAAGUCACAGUAUAAUUUGGAGGAGCUGUAUCUGAUCAAUGACGGCAUCUCGGAGGAAGCUGCAAUGGCGGUUUCUGAUUUAAUUCCUUCUACCGAUAAACUUAGGGUCCUUCAGUUUCAUAACAACAUGACUGGUGAUGAAGGGGCCGUAGCUAUAUCUAAAAUGGUGAAUAAUUCUCCUUUGUUGGAAGAUUUUCGAUGUUCGUCUACGAGGGUGGAAUCUGAAGGAGGUAUUGCACUGGCUAAAGCACUUGGAAAAUGUAACCACUUGAAGAAGCUUGAUUUGCGUGACAAUAUGUUUGGUGUUGAUGCUGGAUUGGCUUUGAGCAAGGCGGUAUCUGCAUUUAACGGUCUGACUGAAAUAUUUCUCAGCUAUUUGAAUUUUGAGGACGAGGGUUCUAUUGCUCUUGCGAAUGCCCUAAAGGAAUCUGCACCAUCGUUGGAAGUUCUUGAUUUGGCUGGAAAUGAAAUCACUGCUAAAGCUGCUCCUGCUCUCGCUUCCUGUAUAGCUUCUAAACAGUUUCUUGCAAAACUGAACUUGUCUGAAAAUGAGUUGAAGGAUGAAGGUGCUAUAUUUAUUGCGAAGGCGCUCGAGGAGGGUCAUGAUCGAUUAUGUGAAGUGGAUCUUAGUACGAAUUUGAUAAGAAGGGCUGGUGCAAGGCGAUUGGCUCAGGCUGUUGUGAAUAAACCGGGACUUAAAUUGCUGAAUAUCGAUGCCAAUUAUAUAUCGGAUGAAGGGAUUGAUGAGGUGAAAGAUGUCUUCAAGAAUUUCCCUAAUGUUCUCGGUUCGCUGGAAGAUAAUGACCCGGAAGGAAAAGACUACGACGAAGAGGAAGAGGAGGAAGAGGUAGGUGGCGAAGAUGAAGAUGAAUUGGAGUCGAAACUCAAGGGCCUUGAAAUCAAACACUGAGGAAUGAGAAGUCGCGUAAUACUCUUUUAGGUUAGUGUCACAUGUUUCGUUUGUUUCUAGGAUUCUCGAGUUGUUUGUAUGAGGGUCAGCUUGAAUGUUUUGUGCUAGCUAGGAACGAUUUUCCUGCGUUCGUGUUUACUAGCUCUUCUACGCUUGAUGCGAGUAUGGACCUAAUAUGCAGAUGUAUGUUAUUUGAUGAAUUUUGAUUUAUUUCCGGAAUAUCGGGAUUGCCAAUUGUUAUGAUUAACAGAUGAGCAGUUUACAUACAAUCAAAGCCUUGCAAAAUUUUCGAUAAAUAGUGAUUUGCUUGGGUAAAAUCAGCAAUCACACUGCCACGGGUACUUUGAGUGCUUCUAGAAUCUUGUCAUCCAACUCAAACUGAAUCUGUUUCUUGUCUCGACCAAUCUUAACAUACUCAUCAAACCGUUCCUUCAAAUCCACCGUAAGAUCCGUUGUACUACUCCAUCCAAGUAUCUCCUUUGCAGCUCUCGGCUCCGCAUAGAAAUGCUGCCAAAAAAGAAAAAAAGAGAGGUUAUAAUAUUAAAAAAGAUGAUAUUUUUUUGAAGGGGAUAUUUCAAGAAUUAUUACCAUGUUACGGAAAGGAAACGCUUUCUUUGCAUCGACCCCCACUUUCUUGGGAUCGUAGUGCACAAUUUCAACAGGCAAACCAGCAGCUUUAGCACACAAUCUCGCCAUUCCAUCGAGUGUGACAGCUCGUUCGCUAACACAGUUGAAUAUGUUUCCCUUUGCUGCUUCUGGCUUUUCAACCGCCGACGUAAGAAUUGACGAUAAGUCCCUCACAUGUGAUAUGUUUGUUAACUGCAUCCCCGAUCCAGGUAUCAAGAUUGGCCUACCUCGAACAAUACCUGCCAACAGUCGAUUUAACGUUAGAUAAACCACGAUUAAUUAAUUGAAUAAUUGAGUUUUAUUUUGAUGAAAAGUACUUACGGUCGAAGAACCAUUCCUCACAGUCUUUGUUGUUGCCAGAGCCGAUCAUGUACUGUGGGCGGAACGACGCCCAAUUAUCGAAUGUCUCCGAGAUGUAUUUCUCGACUACAACAUGGCCAGCAUCUGCUUUGACAGCAUCCUGUAAAAUCAAGAUUUGUUCUUAUUAUUAUAAUUUUUUUCGAUAUUUAAAUGUGAGGGAUCGAAAGGAAUAUACCCCUUCAACAUGAGGAGGUUCUUCUGUUGCCUUGUAGAUUCCUGCACUACUGAUGAACAGAAACUGCUUUGCACCACUGCUCUUGGCCCAAUCUGCUACAGGCCUGUUCAUGUAUAAAAUAAUCAUGAUUUGUGAAGCCGAUUGAUUCUCAGUUCGAACUCGAAUUCGUAUCGAUUGGGAUUUUCGUAUAUAAUUUAGGAAACACAAACCUAACGGCAUCCAAAUCUUUGCCAUUGUUAUCCAACACCACAUCAAAUGCAGUACCCUCGAAUAUUUUCCCGAUAUCUGCCGGCUCUCCCCACACAAUCUUGCCUCCACCACUCACAAUUUCCUAAAAUACCCCUGUUAAAUUAGCAACAAAAACGGAAUAUAUAUUUAUUUAUGUAUAUAUUUUUUUUCAUGUGAAUAGAAGCUUAACUGAAAAUCUGCUGAACGGGGGCUUCUUCAUCUUGUCGGAGGCCUCUUGACCGACGGUCAAGAUCGUGACAGCGUGGCCGGCGGCGAGAAGUUCCUUGGCGAAGUAGAAGCCGAUGACGGCAUGGCCGCCGCUGUUGGUGUUGACAAUGAGCACAUUCUUCUUCUCCGCCGUGACGGUGAAUGAGGUGGGAGAAGACGAAACUGCCCUUCUCGGAGAGUUUUUGGAGAUAGCGAGGAAAGAUGGGGAAAUGGAGAGAGAAGAGGAGAGAGAGUGACGAGAGGGUGAAGAGAGAGAAAGGCGUGGGAUAGGAGAGAGAGAAGAAGAUGAAGGUGAAGAAGAGAGGGUGGAGGAGAAGAAGAGGAGAGAGGAUGAGGUGGAAGCAACUGCUGUUGCCAUUGGAACUUUUCUUGAUGAUUGAUUGUGUAAGAACCAGCAAUUUUUCUUUUCUUUAUAUUAUUGGAUAGAAAUGGAU
rnacentral:lncRNA from 1 species